rnacentral:lncRNA from 1 species
GGGGUCUGCUUAUAUAGUCCCCUUAGGUGAACGUGGGCCGUUAGAUCAAACUGACAUUGAUUGCACGGUUAUUCUUGAUCCUUUAUGUCGGUGGAGCAUAAUCCGUGAGAUUGAACGUGAUUGGCCACAACACCUGGGCGGGCGCCCUGCCCCCGGGCCCGGUCGGCCUCCCGUUCGUUUCUGUGGCUUCUGGACUCUUCUAGAUGAUAGAAAAUUGCGCGGCACGUUAAUAUCUCUAUGUAAACCCGACAUGUGGGCCUUCCUCUAUAUUUCCUGAUAUCCCCCUGCAGAAAUAGACAAACACCAAAACUUGUGGAAUUCUAUCAGAUAAAACCCUAAGUUUGGGUGUUGGUUGCAUUUGGAUCCUUUUCUUUAUUUAUUGGAUGAUUAUAUUUGGUACUUAAGGACCAUCAACAACUCCCCCAAGCGUACCUCUUGCUCGUCCCUGAGCAAGGAUGGACUCAAGAGUUUCAGCAGUGGUUUCAUGCCUUAAAAGUACACACGCGUUCAAGCAAGAUCUCAUCUCUGAGUUAGAGUAAACUGUUAAGACUUAAAACUUACUCAUUUUACCUUUCACCAUGGGGCUUGCAACUGUCACUUGUGUCUUGAGCAGUUAAAAGAUAGAACAGUCUAGUCAAGUGCUAUGUCUCUUGUUCUUUGAUCAGCUAUAGCUCUGGAGUUUUUGAGGAUUUUCAAAUAAAACUCGGAGAUUCCUUGUAUGACUCUCUAAUCUAUCUUUUGUGGUAUUUCUGGAUCCUUUCCAAGGCAGUAAUGGUAUAUGCCUUCUCUCAAAGUAUGUGGUAUUUUUGGUAUGAGGCAUAGUGAUAUUGCCUUCUCUCUCACCCUACUCUAAUAAGGUUUUGAUAUUUGGAGCUCAUAGGUGGGAGACAGAUAAUACAUACUUACAAGACAUUUAUUGCAUAGUCAAAACAUGGAUCCAGAGAAACAAGUCAAUAAGUCAAAUCAAGAUGUGCAUGUGUGGCGAGUGAAUGGUGUAUGGUGAUAAGAAUGGUGAAAGUCUAAUUCUACUUUUGCUCUUUUGAGGGGAUACAUACCUUUCUUGCACUUUGAAGCUGUUUGAGGAGAAUGAGAUGCUCUAUAUUUUCUUUUUCUUUUCUCUCAGGUGGGUAUCUUGUACCCCUAAUUCUACUGUCGGACACUUGUCCAUUUUUACCUCUCGUCUCACUUUUUCUUUUCUUCGAGGUUCCGGGCACUUGCCCCUUUUUAUUUCCUCGUAUUCUUUCUCUCUCUUUUUUUUCUUUUCUCUUUUUUUACUAGAGCACUCAUCUCCUGAAAUAAUAUAGCAAGUGGUAGUAACCAAGAUAACUCGAGCAUUUAUUUCGUAGGGAAAACAGAAAUAGGAGAAUGUUUUUGGCUAUUCUCUCCCGGAUUAGGAGUAGAAUACUUUUGGGUGGCUCUGGAGAUGGAAAUGAGUGGAUAUAUGUGGAUGCAUACUUCCGGAGUAAAAGUAGCAUGUAUGAGUGAACGUGCAAGUGAAUCUUGAUUUUAACCGCCUGACAAGCUCCUAAGGGUCUACACAGCUUGACCACACUCAAUGCUCAUAAGCAGUAAAAAGUAAAUGUGUGGCUCAGAGUCUAGCAAGCAUGUAUAUAUGGCUGUGGUAGGAAUUUAAACUAUCAUCAUACAGGAACUCAUCAUGUGUUAUUUUAAAGAUUUUCAAAGAUAAAAUUCUCCAGAAUUCUAGCAUCUCUAGGAACAGAUAAACAGUAGCUCAACCUUCCCGUAUCGUAUCCGUUAACGACUUAGACUUUUGAUCAAGUAUUCUUCCCACAAGUUCAGGUUUAGAGCAAAUCUUAAUUCAUAACAGUCAUGCCUAAACUCGAGAGAGAUUUCAAUUUUGAGAACUAGUCAUGGCAGAGUAGCUAUUCAUCAUUUCCAUGUGAAAGCUUAUCAUGAGAGUUCAUAGCAAACUUUAUUUAUUUAUUUAUUUAGCAAACAACACAAAAUCUUUAUUUGGGUUUUUAUGAUUAUGCAUCUUUUUAUUAUUUGAGUAAAGUAUAAACAUGAGUAGAACACUUAGCUAGAUAAAUGGGGGUGCUCUCCCCCAAGCUGGAUUUUGACGUAAUUUCUUCUGACGUAAUUUCUUCCUCCUAAUAAAUGCUACUCUCUUUAGUAGGAUCAUAAAUUUAUUUUUUUUUAUUUUUAUAGGAUAGGAAUAUAUUUAUUUUAUUUUUAUGCCACCACAGUGAAUGUACUUAUGGGUUUUAUGCCAUGAGCAUACUCACAUGGGGCUUACUAUUUUUAACAUUUUUAUUUUCUUUUCGAGAUGAUAUUAACCUGAUUAACUAAGCAAACAAUUUUAAAUAAUUGAAGGGAAAAGGAUAACUACCAAGUUUACCUCUUGGCAAGGCGUUCAGUGUUUUUAAGUCCUCCAAACGGGACUCUCCGUUUUCUCAGUCGUCCUGGGAUUUGCUGGAUGGCGUAGUCGGUGGUUCCGGCGGCACCUCCUCUUUGUGUAUAACUAUCUUUUCUCUCCACACCUGACUCGGUGCUACGGUCUCCUCUGGGCAAUCCUGUUCAAGAUGUAUAUCUUUGGACCUUAUUACAUCUCCUUUGUAGUCUGCCCAUCCGUCCUUGAUGAUUUGCCUCCUCUAGUUUCGGUUGCGUCGCCUUCUUCUUAGAGGGGAAGUGCAUGUGGACUUCUUCGGUUCCAAUAUAGAUGAUGGCUUUGAUAGUGUUGAGGAACGGUCUUCCAAGGAUGAUGGGUGGAUCGUACUCGUCUUCUCCCAUGCCAAUGACCUGAAAAUCAUUUGGAGCUGAAUGUAUGUUGGUUGUAGGGGCAUGGUUCCAUGCAGGAGUUGAUAAGUGACUACGGCCAUUAUAUUAACGUCAGAUCCGGUGUCGUAGAGUGGCUUCUGAAAAGAGUAUCCGUUGAUUGUGCACUCGAUGCUUGGAACACCAGGGUCGUCCUUCUUGAUCAAGAAAGGCGACUUGAGUCGACGAUAUUGACCUUCUUGAGCUGCAGUGACCAUCUUAGCUAACUCAGUCCACAUUUACUUGUUCCUGUUCCUCCUGUUGGUCCUCUCCCUUUGUUCAUGUCGGGAUUGCUCUGAAAUUUGUGUAGUCUUAUUCUUGAAGGAAAGUCUCCUUCUUCCCCUUGAUGUAGAAACUAAUCUUGGCAGCACUAGCGUAGAUGACAACUCUCGAGGUGUUCAGGAAUGGCCUCCCUAGGAUGAUCGGUGCCCUCUCUUUAGUACCAGUCUCUAUCACCAUGAAGUCUGCUGGAGCAUACAAGGUACCAACUCGGACGCAAAGGUUCUUCAAUAUUUCCUUUGGGAAACUGAGUGUCCGAUCUGCAAGCUGAGUAGUUAGGCCUCUAUUGAUUUCAACCCUGAUUUUGUUGAGGACGGUUGUAGUAGUAGUAGUUGUUGUUGAUGUAAUUUACGUCCUCAAGCAUCUCAGGGCAGUGAUUGCCUGAGUGUCCAGUAUCUCCAGUGUGUUUGUGCUCGUAGAUCUAGGUCCUUCACUUGGAAGAAUCUGGGAGUUGUAAAACUCCUUUAGGUUUUGCUCGAAGUCUACCUGCUCAUAAAGACAAGGCAGAGAUCAAGUGCAUGGGCCAUGUUGGUGAAAAACACCAACAGAACCAAAAGUGUAUUUGUUCUUCUCUAACCUUAAGCAUAGAGAGCAAGACAAAGUUGAUGGAUAAUAAGAUCAUGAGUGUAGCAUUUGAAACAUUUGUUAGAUCAGAUGGCUCAACCUAAUGGAAAGAUAAUCUAUCUCUAUUUAUGUUUUGUUUAUAUCUUCCAAAGAUUGAAUGUGCACAUUUUAGCUUAUAUGGUUAGGAGUGUGGGAUCACGAAUGUAGUACUAAGAACAAAGAUUAAAGGACUAAACAUGUUGAAUUAAUUGGGUUGGUUAAUUUGGAGUUACAAAUCAUACAUGUUUGUCUCUUUUAUUCAUGUGAAUGCCAGAACCAAGGAGAAGCUUAUAAAAGUGAUAGUCAAGUACCUUAAGAUGUUACCUUACUUGAAGAGUGAUGGUACAGUAUCACCUUGUGGAAGCUUUCCUUUCUUAGCGGUUGUGCAUCGUGUUUGUGGCACCUUCCAUGCAUCAUCUCUUAUGAGCUAUGUCUUCCUUGUGUAAAUUGUUAAACUUCAAGUGUCUCUCUCUUUGUCUCCAAUAUGAGUUUAUCUUAGGACUUCCCAGGUCAAUAUUGAAAGUUUUCCUGCAGGGGUUAGUCCAACAAAAUAUCCCCUAUCUACUAUAGAAUACUAUCGGCUCAAAAAUCAACCUAGACACCAUGUCUAAUUUGAUUUAGGAGGGUGUUUUAACCUAAGCACCAUGCUUAAUUUAAAAACCCUUGGAAGUAAGAUCAUCAUUCCUAAACUAAGCACCAUGCUUAAUUAAGAGAUAAAUGAAACUACUCCAAACCUCGACAUAUACUAAAGCAAAUAAAGGUAGCAUGAGAGCAUUAUUAGAGAUCUACUCAAGUGGAGAUGAAGUAGUGUGAUUAGUAUUUAACAAAUUGAGCAUGUCUCAAAGGUAGGCACAACCAACAUAGCAACAUGGCAAAGGAUUUUUUUAUGUAAAGUACUCCCCCAAGCUUGAAUUUUGCAAGAUUCAAGUUUGGAUGAAUUUAAUUCAAAGUUGUAUGAUGGUUGGUUGAACAUAUGUAUGGUCCAAAUGGCUGGAGGGGGGUGAAUAGCCUAUUUAAAAUUUCUACAAACUUCACUAAGCAAGAGAGUUAGUGAAACAAAUGGCGAAGCAAUUCUAGCACUAGCUCAACUAAGCUAUGCAAGCCACCUAUACAAACUAGUACAAGGCUAAACACUAAAGCACAACAACAAGAGAAGGUUAGCUACACUCCUAAACAAGAAGAUACAACUAAACAAGGUAAACAAGUAAGUAAAGGAGUGGAGAGUGAUUGUUAUACCAACGUUGUAGAGUAGAGAUAUAUCCAACCAAUCACUCACAAUCACAAUCACAAUAGAUGAACCUUGGCAAGAGAUGACACAAGAUUUUUUACCGAGGUUCACUUGCUUCCCGACAAGCUAUUCCUCGUUGUGGCGAUACACCCACUUGAUGGAUCACGAGCUAAUUGGCAAUCCAAAGCCAAACCCUCAGCGGGUGCCGCACAUCCACUCACAAGAUGGGGCUCCUCCAAGCCACGAGCAAUCCACUAGAGUAGCCAAUUGCGAUCUCUCACGGGGAAGGCUCAAGAACCCCUCACAAAUCACUUGGUGUGGCUCAAAACAAUCUCCAAUUAUGAGCUCAACACCACCGCUGCUCCAAGCCAUCUAGGGCAUCGGGAAACACCCAAGAGUAACAAGAAAUCCGCAGCAAACUCAAGAAUCAAGUGCCACUAAAUGCAACUCUCAAAGCAAUACACUUGAAUCUCACUCAAUCUCACUAGGAUUAGCAAUCAAGCAAGGAGAAGAGUGGAGUGAGUGUUCUCUAGCUCAAUGUAUGCCUCAAGUAUUCAAAUGUGCAAGAGAGAGCCUCCCAAAGCCGGCCACCUUCUAUUUAUAAGCCCCUCAAAGAAACUAGUCGUUGGCAGUUUUCACUGGGCUGAAAACGGGGGCACCAGACGCUACUAAGUGAGCACCGGACGCUCUCUACGUCCGGUGCAUUGGAGUUGGCCACGUGUCCGUCCUGAAUCUCGCAUGUCAGAUCCUAACGGUCACCUGCGGAUCCCCGAACGCUCUAUAGGUCCACACUAGAUGCGUCCGGUGCACACCGGACUCAUGCGCAGAGAGUUCCGCAAACCUGCCGGUCACCGGACGCUAAGCACCAGUAGCGUCCGGUGCUCACCGGACCCAUGCGCAGAGAGGGUCGCAAAACGCCCGCACUCCGGACGCUAACCACCUGACGCUCUCAGAGUGCAUCCGGUGCUCAACCCUAGCAUGGUGAAGCACACCGGACUCUGACGCUAGUGUCCGGUGCCUCCGUACUCAGCAUCCGGUGAGUGUUUCUCAGUGAGAAAACACUCCCGCGACUUCUCCAAAAUUCCCACCGGCGCAAUAGAAAAUAUACAUUUAUUUUUCUCAAAAGCGCCGAAUCCCGCCGAGCUUGCUCGGUGGGAGGGAGAGAGGAACCCAAACCCCUCUCAACCCUAGGAACUCCACCUCCUUUGCAAAAGUGCUAACACCAACAAGUGUCCACAACCAAAGUGCAUGUGUGUUAGCUUUUCACAAACAUUUUCCCAAAGAAGUUUAGUUAGCACUUUACUAGAUGCUAAUGCAUAUGCUCAAGAUGUAGGCCUAGUAGCACUUGAUUCGACAGAUGACCGUGAUUUCCCCUCUUGAUAGUCAGCUAUCUAUCCUAAACCCGGUCAAUCACUUCUCUACUCAUCUUAGACCGGCAAAAGUAAAACCCUAUGUUUAUACCUUUGCCUUGAUCACUUUGCUCCUCGUCUAUCACCAUGAUCUUUACUUCAUGCUUCAUCCCUUUGUGAUCAUGUGGCCACCUUUCCAUGCCACCAUGUACCUUCAUCACAUGUGUUGCUAUGCCUAACUCAAAUCACUUAAACACGAGGCAUUAGCAACUUGGUGUCAUUAAUUAACAAAACCAAAUUUGGGCUUUUAAUCUCCCCCUUUUUGGUAAUUGAUGUCAACCAUCACAAAGAUAUGAAAUGAAAUCAUAAUGAAGUUGAAUUGCUUGUCCAAAGCAUUUUAAUCAUGAGACAAGGUUGGACAAACAUUUCAAUUUUGGUUUUGGUAGUACUAGCUCCCCCUACAUAUGUGCUUCCAUGAGUUUGGUUCAAGUUUGCACAUAUGCAUAAAUUGGAAUUUUUGGGAGAUUUAUUACUACCAAAAUGAUGCUAAGGUAUAUAGAAUGGACCUUUGAAGCGUGAUACCAAUCGGAGUUGCCAAUAUACCAUCCUUAGCACCAAUGUAGCUAGACAUACAUUAAAAACUCAAGAUACCUCGUGAGAUCACAUUAUAUGUCUAGAUACCACAUAUAAAUAAAACAUUAUGCUAGAAUUCAAAGCAUCAUUCAAGUUCUAUUUCUAGCAAGCACCAAUCAAACAAGAGUUAUGAAUUUAAACUUGCAAUGCAACACAACAUUAUGUUUAGUGCACAUUCAAAUGCAAUAAAUGGUUCAUGAGCUUGCUCCCCCUAUUUGUGUGCUCAAGUUUUAAUUUAUCCAUUUCAAUUUUUUUAGAAGUCAUCUCUCUCCCUUAAGCACUUUUCUCCCCCUUUAUGACUUUAUCUUUGUUUCUCUCCCCCUUUGUCAUCAAUGGCCACAAAGGUUCAAAUUUUAGUGAGAAUUAAGUCAAUCAAUGUGAGGGUCAAAUUAUGGUUCAAUCUAGAUCACUUGCCUAAAACAUGUAAUUUGGUUUGAUCCAAGGACAAGCUUUUUCACACCUCAAAAAGUAUAAGGGUUAUCUUGACCAUAUUGAAUUACACAUCAUAAGCUCAUAUUCUAGAUUCAACACUAGGCUUGCAAGCUCACAAACAUGUCAUAUGCUACCACUAGAUCAAACAACCAUAGAAACAAUAGUGGUACCAUACAUACAUCAAAUUCUUUUGAUUUUCAUGAAUGAGCCUAUUGUCAUGCAAACAUGUCUAUAUGUUCUAAUCAUGUGCUUAGCAAAGUAUGAAUGCUAUGUCAACCAUCGUUACCUUGCUUUGUUGGAGGAGAGGCAUGGCAUAUAGAAAUGUGGGGGUGCACUCAUCUCAAGUUGGAGAAGUCAAGUAUGCUCAAUUCAUUUCUCAACUUGCAAAAUCUCUUCUCAUCAAGUGGCUUUGUAAAGAUGUCGGCUAGUUGAUCUUCGGUGCCAAUGCUUUCAAUGCUAAUGUCACCCUUUUGUUGAUGGUCUCUUAUGAAAUGGUGCCUUAUGUCAAUGUGCUUGGUUCCUGAAUGUUGAAUCGAACUUUGUGUCAUCUUGAUUGCACUCUCAUUGUCACAUAGCAAAGGCACAUUCUUGAAUUUGAUUCCAAAGUCAUUCAAGGUAGCUUUCAUCAAAAGCAAUUGUGCACAACAACUACCAGCACUGAUGUAUCCGGCCUCGGCCGUUGAUAGUGCAACACUAUUUUGUUUCUUUGAUGACCAUGAAACUAGAGACCUUCCUAGCAAUUGACAAGUGCCACUUGUGCUCAUUCUAUCAAUCUUGCAUCCACCAUAGUCGCAGUCCGAAUAUCCAAUCAACUCAAAGUUAGACCCCUUGGGAUACCAUAAUCCAACAUCAUGAGUGCCCUUUAGAUACCUCAAUAUUCUUUUAGUUGCCUUCAAGUGACUUUCUCUAGGUGAAGCUUGGUAUCUUGCACAUUUGCACACACUAAACAUCACAUCCGACCUUGAUACGAUGACAUAGAGCAAACUUCCAAUCAUGGACCGAUAUAGCUUUUGAUCUACCAUGUUGCCACUUGCAUCACUACCUAAUUGAUCAUUUGUGCCCACAGGUGUGCUCAUUUGUUUAGCUUCUUGCAACCCGAACUUCUUGAUCAUGUCCUUGAUGUACUUGGCUUGACUUAUAAAAGUGCCAUCCUUCAUUUGCUUGAUUUGAUGACCAAUGAAGUAACUAAGCUCUCCAAUCAUGGACAUCUCAAACUCAUUUGCCAUCAUUCUUCCAAACUCUUCACAAAAGUCAUGAUUGGUUGAUCCAAAGAUGAUAUCAUCAACAUAGAUUUGCAACACAAACAAGUCCUUGCCUAGCUUCUUGGUGAAGAGGGUAGUGUCAACCUUUCCCAUCUUGAACCCUUUAGAGAGAAGAAAAUCUCUCAAUCUCUCAUACCAUUCUCUAGGUGCUUGCUUUAAACCAUAAAAUGCCUUCUUGAGCUUGAAAACAUGGUUGGGUUUCUUGUCAUCUUCAAAACCGAGAGGUUGUUCAACAUAAACCAACUCAUUGAUGUAUCCAUUGAGAAAUGCACUCUUCACAUCCAUUUGAUAUAGCUUGAUGUUGUGGGCACAAGCAUAUGCUAAAAAUAUUCUAAUUGCCUCCAAUCUUGCAACCAGUGCAUAUGUUUCUCCAAAGUCAAGACCUUCAACUUGAGUGUAGCCUUGUGCUACUAAUCUUGCUUUGUUUCUCACAACUACACCAUCUUGAUCUUGCUUGUUUCUAAGGACCCACUUGGUACCAAUCACAUUGUAGUUAUUUGGCCUCUCAACAAGCUCCCACACUUGAUUUCUUGUGAAGUUGUUCAAUUCUUCAUGCACGGCAUUUACCCAAUCGGAAUCUUUCAAUGCAUCUUCUAUCUUCUUAGGUUCCUCAAAUGAGACAAAUGAGUAGUGCUCACAAAAGGUUGCUAGCCUUGAUCUUGUUUGAACACCACUUUGAAUACCACCGAUGACUUGAUCUAAUGGAUGAUCCCUUGCUAUGCUAGUAGGUUGGAGUAUUAGGAGUUGAUUGCUUCCACUUGCUUGAUUUUGAUUUUGAUAAUCAACAUGAGAGCCACUAGUACUUGCUUGAUUUGUAUCAAUUUGCACUUCUUGAUUGAUCAUGUGAAUGUCAUUGUCAUCAUCAACUUGCAUCGGCCUUAUGUCACCAACAUCCAUGUUUUUCAUUGCAUUAGCCAAUUGAUCUCCUCUCACAUCAUCAAGAUUUUGAGCUUCAGUUGAGAUCCCUCGUUUCUCAACUCUACAUCAUGACUUCUUCCAAUGUGCCACUUGCCAAGUUCCAACUCUAUAUGCCUUGCUUGUGGUGGAAUAACAAAGUAAGAACCCUUCAUCACAUUUCUUCUCAAACUUGCUCAAUCUAGUGCCUUUCUUGAGAAUGUAGCAUUUGCAACCAAACACUCUAAAGUAUGCAAUGUUGGGCUUUCUUCCAUUUAAUAGCUCAUAUGGUGUCUUCCCAAGCUUCCCAUGGCAAUAGAGACGGUCGCUACAAUAGCAAGCAAUGUUGAUAGCUUCACUCCAAAAUGAAUGGGUAACAUUGUAUUCACUAAGCAUUGAUCUAGCCAUAUCAAGCAAGGUUCUAUUCUUCCUUUCAACUACACAAUUGAAUUGAGAAGUGUAUGUUGGAGAGAAUUGAUGUCUAAUGUCAAGAUCAUCACACAAUUCAUCAAUACUUGUGUUCUUGAAUUCACUACCAUUGUCACUUCUAAUCUUCUUGAUAUUGGUUUUAAACUCAUUUUGCAUCCUCUUGACAAAAGACUUGAAUAGAUCACAAACAUCACUCUUGUCACAGAGGAAGAACACCCAAGUGUAUCUAGUGUAGUCAUCUACUAUCACAAAUCCAUAAUUGUUGCCCAAAUAAAUCCAUGUGCAAUAGCUCAAAUGCCUUUGAUGUGCUCAUUUCACUUUUAUUAGGAUGUGCAUUUCCAACUUGCUUUCCGGCUUGACAAGCACUACAUGGUUUAUCCUUCUCAAAUGUGACAUCCUUCAAGCCUCUAACUAUGUCAUGCCUCAAAAGUUUGUUCAAUUGUUUCAUUCCAACAUGACCAAGCUUUCUAUGCCACAACCAACCCAAACUUGAUUUGUUAAUUAGGCAUGAUGUCAAUUGAGUGUCACUAUCAUUGAAAUCAACCAAGUAUAAGCUACCAUGCCUAAAUCCUUUGAAUAUCAAGUUUGAUCCAUCAACACUAAUCACCUCAACAUCAUCACUACCAAAGAUGCACUUGAAACCAAGGUCACAAAGUUGUGCAAUUGACAAGAGAUUGAAAUCAAGGCUUUCAACUAGCAACACAUUUGAUAUACUCAUGUCAUUUGAGAUAGCAAUUUUACCAAGUCCCUUGACCUUGCCUUUCUUGUUGUUGCCGAAGGUGAUUGAAUCAAAGCCACCAUUUAGACUAGUAUCAAACGACUUGAACAUACAAGACUCUCCGGUCAUAUAUUGAGUGCACCCACUAUCAAGCACCCAAUGCCUUCCUCCGGCUUUGUAAUUGACCUACAAGACAAGAUCAAUUCUUUUUAGGUACCCAAACUUGAUUGGGUCCUCCAAGGUUAGCAACUAAGCUCUUUGGUACCCAAAUGGCUUUCUUCUUUGAGCCCAUCCAUGGUGCACCAAUGAACUUAGCAUGAACACAUUUUGUAUCCUUGGUAAGCACAUAGAAAGAAUUAAGCUUAAUUGAGGAUACAUGAGCUUUGGGUUUCUUGUUCACGCAUUGUUGCUCUAAGUGACCGACUUGCUUGCAAGAUUUGCAAUACCGGCCAUUGUUCUUCACAAAACUAGUCUUGUGAGGAGCAAAAGCGGCCUUGGCUUUCUUGGGGUUAUAGCCUAAUCCCUCUUUAUAGAGAGAAGCUCGUUGGCUACCCAAGCACAUAAGCAAGCGGUCCUCACCACCAUAAGCCUUGGCUAAGGUGUGAUUGAGCUCCUUCACCUUCUUUUUGAGAAUUUCAUUCUCAACUUUUAGUGUGGUUUCACAUGUGAAACCAUCACUACUCGAUGAGGAUGAUGUAUAUGUGCUACAUGAGCGGUUAGUAGAAGAAACAACAAUAGGCUGACUUAAGAUAUCACAUGUUAGGCCUAUGUUGCAAGUUUUAGCUUUCACCAUUUUAGUAGGCUCAUUUUCACACUUGUUAACUAGAGAGGAAUGAGCUUCUUUAAGCUUAGUGUGAGCCUUUUGAAGCUUCUUAUGGUCUUCCUUUAGACUCUCAUAAGAUGCUCUAAGCUCAUCAAGUUCUUGCUCAAGGGUUUUCUUAUCCAUGAGCAAGGCCUUGCACUCCUUUCUAGUUUCUUUAUAGUGAUGAGUGCAAUCCUCUAGCAUAGUGAUUAGUUCAUCUUUAGUUGGUUCAUCAUCACUAUCACUAUCACUAUCACUAUCACUAUCACUAUUAAUAUCACUAGCAUGGUCACUCUCAUCAUCGGAUGAUACCUUAGUGGCCUUAGCCAUGAAGCAUGAUGGAGUGUCGAAGAUGGAGCUUUUUCCUUGAAUGGCAAUGCUAGCAUGCACCUUCUUCUUAGUCCUCUCCUCAUCACUUGAGGAGUCAUCACUAUCCCAAGUUGCAACAUGGGCAUCACCCUUCUUCUUGUUUGAGCCUUCCUUCUUUUCUUGCUUCUUCUUUUGCUUCUUUCUUUCUUUCCUUCUUGAUAGCAUCUUCAUCAUCACUAUCAUAAGGACACUUGGUGAUGAGAUGAUUCUUGCUAUGGCAUCUAAAGAACCUCAUGGAAUGGUCAUUCUUCUUUGAGGAGCUCUUCUUCCUUCUUGCCCGAUAGCCUUUCUUUUUCAUAAACUUGCCAAAUCUCUUGACAAGAAGAGCCAUCUCCUCAUCUUCAUCACUAUCACAAGAGCUUGCUUCUUCUUCACUUGAUGACUCUAUCUUGGCUUUGCCCUUGGAUGAGGAGGCCUUGAAUGCCACACUUUUCUUCUUCUCAUCAUCUUUCUUCUCACCAUCCUUCUUCUUCUUCUUCUUCUUGAUCAACUCAUCCUUCUCAUCAUGUUCCCUAUAAGCAUCAUCGGUCAUCACCUCUUGGAAGACUUGUUGAGGAGUUGAAUCACUAAGUGUUGUCUUGACUAGCACGGUGAUCAAUGUGUCAAAUCUCUUGGGCAAGCUUCUCAAGAACUUCAUAGAAAAUUGACUAUCUUUUACUUCUUCCCCAAGUUCCUUGAGUUCAUUCACAAUGACUUGCAACCGGUGAAACAUCUCUGGCACACUUUCAUCUUCUUGCAUCUUGAAGCUUGAGAACUUUUCUUGGAGGAUGUAAGCUUUGGCGGUCUUGGUACCUUUGGUGCCUUCAAAUGUUUCUUCUAAUUUUGCCCAUGCAUCAUGAGCAACCUCAAUGUUCUUGAUUUGCUCAAAAGUCUUGUCAUCAAGAGCUUCAUGAAGAGCACUAAUUGCGAUGUCAUUGCAUUGAAGCUUCUUUUCUUCAACCGGUGUUGGUGCAUUUUCAUUUGCAACCUCAAACUUUGUUUCGGUCACCUUUCAAACAUCUCUAUUGAUUGACUUGAGAUGGGCGGUCAUCUUGACCUUCCAAUAAGCAUAAUUUGUGCCAUCAAAGUAAGGUGCCUUCUUAGUGUUGUUGAUAUGCAAACUAAGAGCCAUUUUUUCACCGUAGGUUGUUAAGCCUCAAAUAAACGGUGCCUCGGCUCUGAUACCACUUGUAAGGACCAAAUGGCCAGAGGUAGAGUGUAGAGUGAUUGUUAUACCAAUGUUGUAGAGUAGAGAUAUAUCCAACCAAUCACUCACAAUCACAAUCACAAUAGAUAAACCUCGGCAAGAGAUGACACAAGAUUUUAUACCGAGGUUCACUUGCUUCUCGCCAAGCUACUCCUCGUUGUGGCGAUACACCCACUUGAUGGAUCACGAGCUAAUUGGCAAUCAAAAGCCAAACCCUCAGCGGGUGCCACACAUCCACUCACAAGAUAGGGAUCCUCCAAGCCACGAGCAAUCCAGUAGAGUAGCCAAUUGCGAUCUCUCGCGGGGAAGGCCCAAGAACCCCUCACAAAUCACUUGGUGAGGCUCGAAACAAUCUCCAAUUACGAGCUCAACACCACCGCUGCUCCAAGAAUCUAGGGAAACGAGAAACACCCAAGAGUAACAAGAAAUCUGCAGCAAACUCAAGAAUAAAGUGCCACUAAAUGCAACUCUCAAAGCAAUGCACUUGAAUCUCACUCAAUCUCACUAGGAUUAGCAAUCAAGCAAGGAGAAGAGUGGAUGGAGUGUUCUCUAGCCCAAUGUAUGCCUCAAGUAUUCAAAUGUGCAAGAGAGAGCCUCCCAAAGUCGGCCAUCUUCUAUUUAUAAGCCCCUCAAAGAAACUGGUCGUUGGCUGUUUUCACUGGGCUGAAAACGGUGGCACCGGACGCUACUAAGUGAGCACCGAACGCUCGACUCUCUGCGUCCGGUGCACUGGAGUUGGCCACGUGUCCAUCUUGAUCUCGCGUGUCAGAUCCUAAUGGUCACCUACGGAUCUGAAAAUUUGCAACUUUUGAAAUAGGUGAAAAAUGAUUUAAUUUUGUAUUUUUGUGCUAAUCAAACAUAGGGAAAAUAAUAUUUGUCAUUAAAAUAAAACUUAUUAUAGAAUUUAGUAACAUGUAUGUGCACUCAUGCUGGAGCAUUUAUAUUUUUGUACUGUGUGACUUUGAGCAAAGUUGAAAAUUGUUUCAAAAUGAUUUGAAAAUGGUUUGGAAAUAAAAAAAAUAAAAAAACAAAACCCUUUCCCCUCUCUAAUUCUAGCCCAACCGGCUUCCCCUUCUUCCCCCCCCCCCCCCCCCCGCGGCCCACUCUUCUCCCUCGGCCCAAUGGCCAGCCCAGCAGAGCAGCAGCCGCGCUCAGCCCACCCUGCCCCGCGCCUUUCUCCGUCUCUCUUUGGCUGGCGAGCAGGCCCCACCCCUUCUUUCACCGCCAGCCGGGUCCCACGCGACAGAUCUUCCCCAUCUCCUCCUACCUUCGUUACGAGACGGAGCCGAGCCGGACUCCGGUUCCUCUUUCCCUGCGUGGAGCCAACCGAAAUCUUUCAAUCCCGAAAACCUCGGAGUUUCCUGCUAUAACUUGUCCUAUAAAAAUUCUAGCGUCACGCCGCACAUUUUCCCUUCUAUGCCGUAAAAACCGAACCCUAGGCGCCCUAUUUGAGCUCGGUUGGAUCUCACCGAGCGAAACACCUUUCCCAACACGGCGCGAGCUCCCUGCUGCCUUCCGACCCGAGCUUAGUGCCUUGGUGAAUUCGCCUUCUCCUCCUCUGCGCGCCCAUGGUCUCGCUUUUCGUUUUGGUGCUCGGAAUCAGGAGGUUGGCGAGCUCCGAUGAGCUCCGCGGCGACGCUCAUGGUGAACCACCGCGCCGGAGCUCUCCCUGGUGGCCGGCCGGCCGGGCACAGCCCUGGGUGGGACGCGAGCCGUCAAAACUCCGAUCAACGCACGAGAUUAGAACGUAACCCUUCGGCCUGCAAUUUUCUUAAAGAGUCCCUAGAGAAUUUCGUUAUCCAACCCGCAGUCCCUUGGCGCCCAUGAGAAAUCCGUUUAUUAUCCUAGAAAACGUAAACAGAUCUGCUUGAGUCAGAAAUACGCUUUCUGCUAUUUACAGAUUUGCCACUGUGAGUAAUUUGCUCAUAAGAUGUUCGUUUUAACUCCGUUUUUGUCCAUUCAAAUUUUGUUAGAUUCGUAUUUAUGAGCUCUACAUUCUAGAAGUAUUAGUUCACUGUUUUGAAACUUUCAAAUUUCACAGUAGCAUUUAAUUAGUUAUCUAUCUAUAGGAAAUCUUAGAAAAAUCAUAACUUCUGCGUUUUAACUCCGAUUUUCGUCAACCUUACGUUUGUGUGAUCGUAGCGCUGCAUAGAUUAUUUUUAUAAACUUUUAUCUUUGAUUUCCCACUGUUUGGUGUAUUGUUCUAAUUAUAGCUUGUUUGCUUAGUGUAUGAUUGUCUACAUUGGAUUGCGUGUUGUUGAUUGAUGAUCGAGUUUAGUCGGUGAGCUUUACGUUGGUGAUCAAGGUCAAGCUUUUGACGACCAGCAGCAGGCUCAGGAGAGCUUUGAUCAAGGCAAGUAUAACUGGGGAUCAUUCUUGUUACCCAUACACCAUUAAUACAAUAUUUAUCAUUUGCAUGUGUCCACCUUGAUGACCUUAGCAAAAUCAUAGAUGAUUGUUAUCCUAAAUUCCUUGUUACCUAUUUUGGAUAUGCAUUUGGGUAGUUCUUGCUAGUGCUUGAAUAUAAUCCAUGAUCUUGUAAGAUGAAUGUUUGGAUAUACAAUAAACAAUAAAAUAAGCUUUCUAGCAACUUGAAUAUAAAGGGUGGAAAGAACUCUAGCUUUUGCUAGAUUGAUCUUGACCCUCCAUAAGGACUUAUCCCUUGGCAAAAGCUAGGACAACUCGUACAACCAUGAGGGCUAUAUGGCUCUGGCUUUAGUCAAGUAUGAGUAAGCUUUUCUAGCUUGUUAGCGGUUACCCGAAAGGGUGCUAGAGGGGCUGAACCGUUUUGGGUAUAGUGUGAGCCCAUGUCCUUAUGUGUAUAGGCUAUGCGUCAUUGUGCCAUUUGGAAGGGGGGUAUCUAUAUCUGCGCGCAAACGAAACCUUGCGGCCCUAACUGGUUAGAUGAACCUUUAAAAGACUUCAUAGUGAUCCCUGCCGAACUCCCUUAGAAGGGGGUUAAGAGACUCAUGACCUCGGGCGAAAGGGUAAAUCAUGACUCAUGGGUAAAGAUGUACAACCUCUGCAGAGUGUUAAUCUGGUAUACUAGCCGUGCCCACGGAUACGGGCGGCCCAGAAAACUGACGGAAUAGACGGACACUAAUGAACAUGAUUAAUGAUGAUAAAGGAUGGUUUAUUAUGUUGUUUAUAUGUGUUAUUCAUAAUUCCUGUAUACAAUUGAUCAUGUGGUUAUGGGAUUAUUUAUGCUACCUUAAUAUUUGCUAUCCAAUGAAUAAACAUGCUAUCCACUAUUAAAAGCUAAAUGCAGUCAAACUAGUGUCAGCUCUUUGAGCCUCAUGAACUCCUGGUUAUACUUGUUGGGUACGAUAUGUGCUCACUCUUGCAAUUUCCCCCACACCUCAGGAGAAGUUUUGGGCUUGUGAUCAACCAGUCAGCUCGAUCCUAUGGAGAGAAGUUAAUACCCGAAGUUGGAGUUGACGAAACACUGUUUGCUAUUAAAGGUUAUCUCUUUUAUACUAAGUACGUUAUAUAUUUACGCAUUGUCUUAUGAUAUUACCCUUUAUUUGAAGCUAUAUGUGAGAUUUGACUUCUAAAACUCACAUAUGGUGUAUAUCUGGUUUUGUCCUUAAAAUCGGGUAUUACAGGAUCACCGGACGCUCUGUAGGUCCACACCGGACUCAUGCACAGAGAGUUCCGCAAACCUACGGGUCACCGGACGCUAAGCACCAGUAGCGUCCGGUGCUCACCGGACCCAUGCGCAGAGAGGGUCGCAAAACGCCCGCACUUCGGACGCUAACCAGUGGACGCUCUCAGAGUGCGUCCGGUGCUCAACCCUAGCAGGGUCAAGCACACCGGACUCUGAGGCUAGCGUCCGGUGCCUCCGUACCCAGCGUCCGGUGCCUCCGUACUCAGCGUCCGGUGAGUGUUUCUCAGUGAGAAAACACUCCCGCGACUUCUCCAAAAUUCCCACCGGCGCAAUAGAAAAUAUACACUUAUUUUUCUCAAAAGCGCCGAAUCCCGCCGAGCUUGCUCGGCGGGAGGGAGAGAGGAACCCAAACCCCUCUCAACCCUAGAAACUCCACCUCCUUUGCAAAAGUGCUAACACCAACAAGUGUCCACCACCAAAGUGCAUGUGUGUUAGCUUUUCACAAACAUUUUCCCAAAGGAGUUAAGUUAGCACUUUACUANNNNNNNNNNNNNNNNNNNNNNNNNNNNNNNNNNNNNNNNNNNNNNNNNNNNNNNNNNNNNNNNNNNNNNNNNNNNNNNNNNNNNNNNNNNNNNNNNNNNCAGAUGUAGGCCUAGUAGCACUUGAUUCGAGAGAUGACCGUGAUUUCCCCUCUUGAUAGUCGGCUAUCUAUCCUAAACCCGGUCAAUCACUUCUCUACUCAUCUUAGACCGGCAAAAGUAAAACCCUAUGUUUAUACCUUUGCCUUGAUCACUUUGCUCCUUGUCUAUCACCAUGAUCUGUACUUCAUGCUUCAUCCCUUUGUGAUCAUGUGGCCACCUUUCCAUGCCACCAUGUACCUUCAUCACAUGUGUUGCUAUGCCUAACUCAAAUCACUUAAACACGAGGCAUUAGCAACUUGGUGUCAUUAAUUACCAAAACCAAACUUGGGCUUUCAACAUACCUUGUGCUUGUCAUUCAUACGAUCUUCUUGCUCCAAUUCUGGAAAUGUUAGUGGCAAGAAUACUCAAAGGAAUAUUUUUAAAAUUAUCCUUAUAUGUUCAAUACACAAGGUAAUGUUUAAUAGCUCAUGUUACAAUCUGAUCAGUGCUUGUUUUAGGACACUAAGCUUGUCCUUGGGAAACCAUCAAUUUAUGUCGGCGAAGUGGUUUCCCUUCCAACGCUGACCUAUAUCAAGAUCAACUCCACGAGAUCUGCAAUAUUUAUUAUAGACAUAUGCAUCGACAACCAUCCUUUUAAAGUUUUUAUAAAUAGAAAGGAAGAGGGGGCUGGAGUUCUCAAAUGUGGUGAUGUUGGAGAGACCAAUAGAUUGGGAAGAUGUUGCAUAUGAGCAUGGAGUAAGUGAAGUGGCUAUGAAAUAAAUUCCAUGCUCAUUAAUGUUAUCUUCGUCUCCAAUCUGAAUGUUUGGAGUUUCUCCUAGAUUGGUCUCGCCUAUGCCCUCUUCUGUAGUUUGAUGAAUCUCAUCUUCAAAGGGAGUUAAGAACUCACCAUUUGAAAUUGAGCCAAAGUCAGAAUCCAUUAAGGCUUCUUCCUUGUCCAUCCAUUCAAUGGUGAAAGGACAUGGGUUUUUAAUGCCCUCUAGCCAUUGAUGUUGCUCUUCUCGAUCCUCCUUAUGGUCUUGGUGACUCUUAUGCAUUGGAUGUCUAAAGAGAUUCAUAGGAUGAUCGGGAGGUUCAAGAGAAAGAGCAUAGUAGAAAUUAUUAGGCUCUGGGAUGGGUUUAAAGAUAGGUUCGAAUGAGUCAUCAAAAGUGGGCGUAGAAGGGGAGAAGAUGAGAUUGUCUUCUAGAUGGCUUCGCUCUCCUUCUAUUGCAUCACUUAAGAUGCUAUCCUUGAGUCUUAGAUGACCAUUAAAGGGAUUGGAUUUGAGAUGCUUUCUAAGAGAUCCCUUCUUAGGAAGGUUCAAACUAUAUGCACUCAAGGGUCUCUUAUGAAGCAGGAAGUUUAAGCUCAUCCCAAAAUGAAUUUCCAAUGGUAGAAUUUCUUCUUCCCUUAGAUGAUUUUGGAGCACUACUAGUUGGAUAGCCGAAUCAUGGGAUUGAAAUGUUUGGAAAUCAGCUAUUGAAACUUCCUUUCCUUGUCUGGGAGAUGAUUCCUUCUCUAUCUCUAGGAUUUUUUAUGAAGACUAGUGCAAGAAGGAUGUCCACGAAUGAAGACAUACCUUGCUUUAGUAACAGAUAAAGAAAGAAAAAUUGUACCCAAGGUUAUAUGAUUAAGACCAAUGUGAAAAUAUCGAGGAAAAACAUGGUCUUGUAGGGCUAGGUCUAAACCAGAAUUUAUAGAAAGAUUAACAGAUUCCCUAGGUGUAGCUAAAAGUUCAUUAUCUUGUUGAUUAAAAGAUAGGACCUCAGCUAUAGAAAAGGGUUGGUUUUGACCUAUUGCAAUCAACUCCGGACACAGAUCAUAAUUAGGGGCAAAGAAAGGACAUGUUGACCCCCAUGGUCUAUGGCUGGUCUCUGAAGGUGCAAAAAAUUCAAUAAUAGGUGUGGAAUUUGAGUUAUCCAUAAAGAUGGAAAAAAUAAAAAGAUAAAAGAAUAAAAGUAUAAUACAAGAUAAUAGCAAGACUUAAAGUUAUCUCAGCAAACCGUCUUUCUCCUCGGCAACGGCGCCAGAAAUGCUUGUUGAUAUUUGGUAACGCCAUGAGGAAUUGAUCCGCAAGUGCACGGAUAUCGGUGAGCACUUCACCUGGAAGGUUAUCCAAAGUAUCGUAUUUAUAUUUUUACCACUGGGAGAAAGUGUGCAUCUAACUAACCAAAUCUAUUGCUACUACCCUUUAGGCUACAAAGAAUGUGACUCGAUGUGAGUGAUGUAUAGAGACGACUACAACCGUAAUCUCGUUCUAACCUUGGUAAGGAUGAUCUACUAUUCUGUUGGGGAGGCUCACGGAAUCUAGACAUUACAGAGGAUGUUCGACCCGCACCUAUAAACCCUACAAUCCUACUAACGGGAUAUGGGCUACAAAGGUAACUUGGAAAUGCCACGUUCCUCACUACUACCACGGUCCAGCUAGUCAGGGGAUAUCUAUGAGUAUCCUAGCCCAAACACCACGUUUAUGCUAGAGAUGAUUACUCUAAACUCUACGCGAAGAGAUCAAAGUAAACUCAUAAACCAAAGAACAAUAAAACAAGAACUUACUAGAAUUUAGAAGUCGAAAUACUGAAGCAUCCUAGCAGCAAGUCUCGGGUUAGGAGACUUGAUCCCGCAGGUACAACCUCAGAGUAGACACCGAUAGGCCGGGCUUCCUCCGAUCCACACCUCCACUCUAUCUCUCUCAAUCUAGUAGAACUAGUCUACUCUCACAUUGGAUGCUAAGCCCUAAGUCUAUGUAGAGGAAAGGUUAUCCUUCGAGGGCACCUCUCAACUCUAUAAUGAACUUGUUCUCCUCCAGGGGCCAGGGGGUCUGCUUAUAUAGUCGGAUCAAACCGUCAUUGAUUGAACGGUUAUCCUUGAUCCUUUAGGUUGGUGGAGCAUAAUUCACGAGAUUGAACGUGAUUGGCCACAACACCUAGGCGGGCACCCAAGGGGGGAGGGCGGGCGCCCUGCCCCCGGGCCCGUUCGGCCUCCCGUUUGUUUCCGUGGCUUCUGGACUAAGUCUGGGUGUUGGUUGCAUUUGGAUCCUUUUCUUUAUUUAUUUGAUGAUUAUAUUUGGUACUUAAGGACCGUCAACAACCGGUGAAAUGGAAAUGCCCUAGGUUAUACCUUUGCCUUGCGCUUUCCAUUCCAUCUCCUCCAAUGUUGAUGCAACACAUGCACCAACCAAUCACCAAAUGAUAUGAUCCACUUCAUAUCAUCACGUGACCGUAUUGGUUCAUCGAUCUUGACAUCACUUUCUCUUCACCAUUGCCUCGGUCCAUCGGUGCCAAGUCUUGCUCAAGCUUCACCGUCACGCGCGGACCCUCGCUUCAAAGCCUCCGACUUGCCCUUCACUCUUGCAACUGGUCCAUCAAGCCAAGCCUCAUCUUGAUCUUCUCCACCUUGGUCACAUGACUCCAUGUCAUGUCUCAUAUGCAAUGAGCUCCUCCAUAAUCACAUAAUCACCUGUGGACUAAUCUCCUGUGUAUCUCAUAUAAACACAAUUAGUCCACCUAAGUUGUCAAUCAAUUACCAAAACCAAACAAGGACCUUUCACCUUCUGAUUAACUAUUUUUAUCACGCCUCUUAUUUAGUCAAUCCACUUAUCCGGUUGUCCCUCCUUCCACGAAGUAGGCCCACGGGUAGUUUUCUGACUUGCCAAAAAUUGAGAUUAACAUAAACAAGAUCAUUGAAUCCAACUGUGAUAUCAUUAGUAUCCAAGAAACCAAGAGAAGUGACUUUGAUCUGAACUAUAUUAUGAAGUUUUGCCCAAAAUCCUUUGAUGCUUUCUGCUUCUUGCCUUCUGUAGGCACUUCUAUUGGUAUUCUUGUCACUUGGAAAGGUUGUUUCUUUUUAGGGGUUGAGGUUUUUUAGAAUAAUUUCGCUAUUUCUGUUGAGUUCCCCUCUCUCUUCAAUAGUGAUUCUUGGAUUCUCACCUCUGUCUAUGGGCCUUGUUCUUCUAAAGGAAAUGUUGCCUUCACCAAGUGGCUAGAGAACAUUCAUAUGCCUGAUGACAUUCAUUAGCUGGUUGUGGGAGAUUUAACCAUAUCAAAAAACGGGAGGAUAGGAAUAAAAGGGGGCAACCUAGGAUAAAUGCUUAUGUUCAAUAAUGCUAUUAGUCCCUUGGGUCUGGUAGAGAUCCCCCUUCAUGGCAGGAAAGUUACUUGGACCAAUAAACAACACCCUCCUCUCCUUGAAAGAUUGGACUAGUUUUUCUCUUCUUAGUCCUAGACUCUCAGAUUUCGAUUUACCACUGCACACUCCUUAGUCUUGGGGACUUCUGAUCAUUGGCCCUGCUUAGUUGAGGUCAAGACUAUCAUUCCAAAUGGAAAGGUUUUUAGAUUUGAAAAUUGUUGGAUGUGCCACCCUAAGUUCCUAAUGGUUGUUUCAAAUUCUUGGAAUGCCCCUUUCCCUAGCUUGAUGCAGCCAAGCUCCUGACUGCCAAAUUCAAAUCCCUCAGAAACAGUCUCAAGUGCUGGGAGGCUCAACUGUCUAACUUGAAGAAGACCAUUGCAAAUAUCAAGCUUAUUAUCUCUUUUUUGGACACUAUUGAAGAAUGGAGAGACCUUGAGUUGCAGUAGUGGAAUUUCAGAGAUAUCCUUAAUAACAAACUUUCUGACCUCCUCCACCAGCAGAUGAUCUAUUGGAAACAAAUGGGCAAUAUAAAGUGGGUGCAACUUGGUGAUGAAUGCUCCAAGCUUUUCCAUGCUCAUGCCACCCUUAAGCAUAGAAGGAAUUUAAUCACCUCCUUGUCUUUCCAUCAUGUAGUCCUGGUUUCUAACCACAGUCAAAAGGCUGCCCUUGUUUGGAAUUAUUUUAAGGAAAGAUUAGGCUCCUCCAACCAUGAGUAGAUGCUUUUUGAUCUGAACUCUCUCUCCACCCAGGAUGUGGACCUCAGCCCCCUUGAGGAACCCUUUGGCCAGUAAGAAAUUGAUGAGAUCAUAAGGCAACUUCCAUCUGACAUAUCCCUGGGCCCAAAUGGCUUUAAUAAUGAGUUCCUAAAAAUGUUGACAUAUAAUAAGGCAUGACUUUUAUAGCUUGUGCAAUGCCUUCUGGCAUGGGGAGAUUUGUCUUCAGAGUAUAAAUGGAUCUUUUAUCACUCUGAUUCCAAAAAUUGAUGGGCCAACUAGAAUUUGUGAUUUUAGACCCAUUUCUCUCUUUAAUUCAUUUGUCAAGGUGCUGACCAAACUACUUCCUAACAGGCACCAACCUCUCAUCACCAAGCUCAUCCAAACCAAUUAGUAUGGCUUCAUUAGGUCACGUUCCAUCCAAGAUUGUCUGGUGUGAUCUUUUGAAUAUUUGCACCUGUGUCACACAUCUAGAAAGAGAUUAUCAUCCUGAAACUGGACUUUGAGAAGGCUUUGGAUAGAAUUGAGCAUGGGGCUAUGCUUCAAAUUAUGAAAAAGAAAGGAUUUGGUGAUAGGUGGCUUUCUUGGAUGAAGACGAUUUUUAGCUCAGUGUUGACAUUUACUACCGUCAUUACUAAGAAGCAGAAAUAACUCCUACCCCUAGCAACAAUGCCAGAAAUGCUCAGUAUAUAAUUAACUUGUCAUUUAGCUACUAGCCACUUCUUAGUUACUAACAUUCCUAAACAUAAAGUAGGUUGUCAUCCCUAAUUCUAUUGCUAGGAAAUUAUUAUAAAUUUACAUGUACUAAUGUGACUAGGCAGAUAUAAAAGAUAUGAAUGUAACAUGAUUGUAAACUAAAUGGGUUCUGCAAGCGGACAAAUAACUAUACCGUUGUUGCAUUUUACCUAGGAAGUUCAUCCACGUUGUCGAUUUAUAUUUAUACCACUGGGAAAGCUAUGUAAUAAACUAUAAUCUAUUAUAUUGAUAAAAGACUAUAUAGGAUGAAUAAGUGAUAUUACCAAGAUCAUCUAAUCUACUCAUAAUAGGCAGAUGUCACAAGAUAAAUAUGGGUGAUAGCUGUUGACACUAGCUAACACCACUUAGAUACUAGGUUGUCAUCCCUAGCAUGGCGCCAGAGUGUACAAAGGUAUUUAUAAAUGUAAAGGCUCUCUAGAAAAUAAUCUAUUCUAUCCGCAAGAGCACAGAUAAAACACCUCAUUGUAGCAUUUCCCCAGGAUAAGUAUUCCAGGUAUCGUUAUUUAUAAUUUUGCUCAAGGGAUCUAAAGAAGAUGGAAUUAAAUCAAGGGACAAAAUCUAUCAAGGCAUAGACUAGAGAUAAACUUGCAAGAACAUGAUUACUAAUGAGAAACUCGUCACACAGUCACUUACUUUAGCAGGGGGUAAACCAUAAAGAUAAUGACAAUAAAGUAUAAGUUCAUGGGUAGAUAGCACAGCGAUUAGAAAAUAGACUACUCCUCAUAUAUGUAGGUGAUGUCGGAUUAGCUAGAGAAUGGAUUCUAUGUUAUCUACUAACUACUAAGUCAUAAUCUACUCUAGUUAUCUACAAGAUCAUAUAUAGCAUAAAAGACUCUUCAUUCAUGUAUAAGGAACAUUGAUAAAGUAAAUCAGAGCAUCGCAUGACUUACUCCACAAUACCGGUUCUGCCUGUCCUAUCAACGGAGGGUGGACUAUAUAAGAAUCAACGAAGCUGUCACUAUCGCGAACUACCACACGACCCGGCCAAUAGGAUACAUUUGUCGAUAAAUAACAUCUAAGCACCACGCUCACAUGUGAUCUAUCACCUAACUCCCUCGCGUCAAGAGCAAAGCGCUUUGCAAACUUAUACAUAAACUCAUUAUCAAUUAGAACUAUAUCAAAUAUAGAACUAGAGCAAACUAAGAACAUAAUAAUUAGAGACAUAAUGCAAUUAGAACAAUAGAAUUAGAGAAAGAUAUGAAUAAUACCAAUCUUUAUUACCGAAGAUCCGAAUCCAGAGCGUAGUGCUCUACUUCUCUAAUUGCUAUCUAAUCAAACCUCUAAACUUGAAGGAUUAGGGAGUAGCUAAUUCUAAUUCUCUGUGGGAGAGAAGCUCUAAACCCUAACUUUGAUGGCUACCUCUGAAUAAUGAUUUCUCCUCUCUCCUCCAGGGGCCAGGGGGUCUGGUUUUAUAGUCCCCUCAAGUGAACGUGAGCCAUUGGAUCAAACCGACAUAGAUUGUAUGGUUUAGAUUGAUCCUUUAGGUCGGUGGAGAGUUGUCCCGAAGCAGAGUCCUGGUUGGCUUCCUGGCCAGGGCGGGCGCCCAAGGGGGGUGGGCGGCCGCCCAGCUCCCGAGCCCGAAUCGCGUCCCGUUCGUUCCCGUGGCUUCUGGAUCCUUCUAGAUUGAGGAAAAUUGCGCGGUACGUAAUUAUCUCGUUGUAAACAUGACAUGUCGGCCUUCUCUCUCUAUUUUCUGAUAAACCCCUGCAGAAAUAGAUAAACACCAAAACUCGUGGAAUUCUGUCAGAUAAAACCCUAAUUCUAGAUGUUUGUUUUAUAUUGAUCCUUUUUCAUGUUUAUUUGAUUAUUAAUUUUAGUACUUAAGGACCGUCAACAAACUCCACCAAGCUUACCCUUUGCUCGUCCCUGAGCAAACAGCUAAACUCAGACGGAUCAGGAGUUGCUUCGAUGUUUUCUUUCCUGACAGGCACACAUGCUUUUACAUAAAAAUUCUUCCAGAUUAGAGUGAAGUGUUAUGGAGUUUAGUACCUGCACUUAAAUCUUAAGUAAUUGAAAGACAAAAUAGUUAAGUCAAGCACUAUCCCUCCUGUCUAUACUUCACUUUUGUUCUAGAGUUUUGUCAUAAGUUUUCAAAAUAAAACUCAGAGUUCCCAGCAAUAAUCUCUUAAGUCUCUCUAUAUGUGGUAUUUGUGGAUCCUUACCAUAAUGUCACUUACCUAUAGCUAAUGGAAUAUUUAAGUGGAGCUCAUAGGAGUGGAAAACAGCUCAUACAUAUGUUGUCUAAUCGAGCCAUGGAUCCAAAGGAACUCAGCAUAUAAUUAAAUCAAGAUGUGCAUGUGUGAUGGAGUAAAUGAUAGUGAUGGUGAAAAUGCAUAACUGAUAAUAAAAUUUACUUCUCAUUGCUCCUCAUAUUGCUAUCUCUUUUCUUCUUUGAUCUUUGCUUUGGGAGAACAUGGGCUAUCUGUUUUUCUUCUUUUUUUUUCAGGUGGGUAGUGGAUACCCCUAAUUCUACUGUCGGACACUUGUCCAUUUUUUCCGCUCAAGUGCGCAUCUUUGUACCCCUAAUUCUACUUCGGACACUUGUCCAUUUUUACCUCUUGUCUCACUCUUUUUCUUUCUUUUUCGAGGUUCCGGGCACUUGCCCCUUUUUAUUUCCUCGCAUAUUUUUGCAUAACCCAUGCCUCUUCUGCAUUGAAUCUUUUUAGAGAGAGAGAAUAACAAUAUUUGGGACAGUGAGUGAUAAUAUAUUUUUAGCAAUUUUAAUGAUUGAUGAUGAAUGCUGUGGUAGAUGUGUGCAAGUGAAUAUCUUAAUUUAACCACAUGAAAAGCUCCUAAGGGUCUACAUAGCUCGAUCAAACUCAAUGUGAAUAUAGUGAAAGAUGUUAUAGCAAGUAUGGCUGUGGUAGGUAAUUUUGUUAUGCUAGGAACUCAUCAUGUGAUUUGUAAGUUUUCAAAAUAAAUCUCCAGAACUUAGUGUAGUAGAAAUAGGAUAAACAGUAGCUCAACUUUAUAUCAUGCCUUUCUUUUACCUGGACUUUAGUUUUAUGCUUCCCAAAGAUAGUAGUUUUAGUUUUAGUAAUUCCUGGAAGAAUUCUAAUAUAAAAGCUAGGUGCUUGUAAGUAAGCAAACAGAGCAACUAUUCAUCAUUUCCAUCAUGUAUAUUUUUGGUCUUUUUAUUUUUCUAGAGAUUAAACUUAGCAGAAAAAAUAAAACACACUUAUCUACACACUCUUUUUAUUUUGUUUUCGUGUUUAUAAAGUGCAGUAAAUUAAAGCAAGAAAAUAUUUAUUUGGUUUUCUAAAUUUUCCUUUUAAGGUAAAUUAAAUACUAGAAUAAAAAAGAAUAAAUAAGAAGAGCAAAUAAAAACUUACUCGAUAAAUUUGGGAGGAACUCCCCCAAGCUCGAUGUUGACGUCGGUCUUACCCGAUGUUCCAGAACCGCAUCAUGGUUGUGAUGUUGUCGUUCAUUGUUGUUGUAUCUUGUCUCAGCUCUUCUACUGCAGCGGCAUGGUCCUGGUUCCAUUUUUGUUGCUUUUCUAGGAGUCUUCCAUGUUCUGCUUGCGUGUUCUGGAUGUCGAGGAGGGUGUUGUCGGUACGAGUGAAGAAAGCACCGGCCUCUUGAUAGUAAUCAUUCGUGAAGGCGUAGGAGGCGUCGGAGUAUCGUCCUGCAUCAAAUUGGGGUGGAGGUCUGGAUCCUGAAGCUCCAUAUGGAUCAGUGGAGUACCUGCCCAUAUGAAAAGGCGGGUUUGUCCACUGGUGAUCUUGGCUCUCCGGCCAUGUCUCCUCUGUUGGCUCUUGUGGUUGCGCAUGACGAGCCCAUGGGUCUCGAAGGACUCGUGGAUUGUAAUCGCAAUAAUGCAGGUGCGCUGCUUCUUCUGGUCCAAGGUCAGCUCCAUACCAGGUGCGUUCUCGGUGAGUGGUUAUCCUUUCAGAUGCCACUCGCUGUGGAGUUCUCUGGUUCACUGGUGUUGCUGCAAUCUCAAUCAAAAAGUUUUGCACAGAGUAGAGGCCAAGGUUCGGGUUAGGUAACCGAAUCUUGCCUUUAUCAUCAUACAGCAUAUACAUUAUAUUCCCCUCUUUCUUUAACAUCCGAGCUUGUCUAAAUGUGUCAUAGCCAUGAUAAAUUCUUAAUUCUUCUAUGAAGUCCAACGAUGAGUUUUCUAGUAAGUGAAGAUUAGUGGCUAGACGAGUGAUAAGUGAAGUACAUCCUACUGGUCCCUGAAGACUAGGUAUACUAAGCCAAUGUGAAACUAAUAGUGUAACAGGUGAAGUGGGUACUUUACUAAUAGCAGCAUAUAAAAGUUGUAAAUCUCCUACUCUUACUUUCCUAAUAUCAUCAUGAUAGAAAAAGAUUGUACCCAAGCCAUUUGUGAAACAUCCUAAGAGUGGGGUGUUCCAUGUCACUGGUUCGGGCUUGACUAUAAAAAUUAUCUCUAGAUAUUUCUCUCCAAAACUGGUGUCUCUCAAAAUUGGGUAAAUCGGAGUCAAUGUUCAGGAUGCACCUUGAAGAGAAACCAAGAUGGUCGCUCAGCUCUCUCCAAGAUAACAUGAUUUCCUGUUUGAACAUCCGAAAAACAAUUCCCCCCUCAUAGUAUUGUAAGGUGCAAAGAAAUUCGAGGGUGAGAAGACGAGAACCCAGCUCAGUUAUAUUCCAAAAAUUUGUCCAACCCAUCAUUUGAAAAAUUAAGUCAAAUUCAGUGUCCAUACCUGUUUCUUGUAGUAGGAUUGUGUUGAUGCAAAACUGAUCUGCAAACACAAAGGGCUAAUACCCGAUUCAAACGUUAAGGCGUGCCAGCCGAUUUGACCUUGCUAUCGGCAAAGGUGAUAACUCGAAUACUUUAGUCCUGACAACAGCGAUGCGCCCGGAUGUCACGGCUAAGAGGUACUCACGCGGAACUUGAGAACACGCCGAGCUUAAGUCGACGAAUUCCUAAGAACUCGUAACAAAAGGAAAAAGUAUGACGAAGUCGUCGAAAAGUAAAUGCUGGAAUAUGAGUAAAAACGUGUGUUUGAUUCAUUGAUUGAUUUUUUAUUACAAGGCCCUAGGGUCUAUAUUUAUACCCUGCUCAAAGAGCUACAACCAGACACGAUUAGAAUUCGAAUUCCAAAUUACACGGAAUCCGUAUACAAAACGAUGCAAAUAAUUAAGGAAAUAACAAAACUAUCCCUCGUGACAAACCGAAACUCCUCCACAUAACGACCGGCAGCUUCCGGACUCCCUCUUUGCAUCAUCGGCAGACCCUUUGCCAUAGUCAUCGGCAGACUUUCUUAUCUAGCCAUCGGUACCAUAUUACUGCCUGUGGACUUAGUCACGUUCAACUUCUCCCUCAUCGGCAACCAUCCUCAUCGGCAACCCACUUUGUAAACAUCGUACUGCCACCUUAUCCUGCCAUCCUAGACACGUGCCCAAAAACGGUGUCAACACAUGCCCCCCAGUUUCGGAGUAUAAAACUAUUAAUGCUCCGAAAUUCUCUGCAGUAAUGAUGCCUUUUCCCGCAAUUAAUGCUCCUAAUCUGGUAACCGACAACCUCAAUCUGAACAACUCUGAUCCUAUUCCUCCGCAGAUUCCUCGAAAUCCCCAACUUCCUAAACGGGCAUUUUUCUCAGUCGUACAUCGGCAACAAUACCGUUACAAAGAUCUGCCGAUGUUCUGACCAGGAUAUUCGCACAAACGGUUACUUCCCCUCUAUCCGCCCAUCGGCAAUAUGACCGUUAUAGAAUAUUGCCGAUGGACCGACCAGGAGAUCUCGCACAGUAAAAUAUCUUCAGAUAAUGACCGCUUCCCGUCAAAUCACCUGCACAAUCCCUGGAUUACCGUGCGAACAGUUACCAUAUCCACCUGAGUACCCUCGGAUUUCUCGGAUGCGGCAAAGAGAUAAGUCGGAUUUGCCCUUGCCCAUUUUGUCCUAUAAAUAGUUCCUUCUUGGGUACUCCUUCCCCAUCACACCAUUCUACUACCCAACUUUACUUUUCCAGCGGCGGCGCCACCAAAAACUUCUAAGGUCUCCGACAAGUACGCCUCUUCACCAACUCCGGCGCCUUCACACGCUUCCUUCGCAGCAAGAUGGCCGUCGGGUUCGUCGUCCCUGAGGUCAAAUCUCCACCCCGUCUUCUGUAUUUUUCUUCAUAUCCCUGUUCACUCGCAAUUCUUUUACUGAACAUCUUCCUUUUCUUUCCUCUUUGUAUUUCUUUUUACGCCCAAAAUCAGUAGGAAUUGUCCAACAAAAUUGUCAUCCCCACCGAUCAACCACACCUUCAAUGCCUCGGCCCUCUAGGGGACCCAGAUCCAACUGACCUUAUCAACGCAGAAACCAACAGGAUCCCCUUCAGAGCCGAAAAUUUUUCCUUAGAUCUGUGGAAGGACACCUUCCGCUCUUGGCCCAGCCCAACUGUAGGGUGUAAAGACUGGUUCUUGAGGGUCAGCAACUCUAAUGAAGUUCAGUGGGGUGAAAGGAAUCUAGCCCAAUGCAUUAGAUUGUCCAUUGCCGAUAUGCAUAGGAACGAGUCACUGCUGAUAGUUGCAUCCUACUUUUGGUCAGACACCCUCAAUGCUUUUGCCUUUGGCCACGGCCCUGCUUCUCCUACUCUUGCCGAUGUAGCCAUGCUUACUGGUCUAGAUAUAUCUUCUGCCGAUAGCACCCACUUUUUUGAUACUGCCCCUAGUGCCAAAGUGGAGACUCGCGCUAUCGGCGGUUGGUCGGGGUACAUUCAGAAGUACCGUGGGAAAGGAUCUGUCACCAUAAGGGAACAAACCACCUUUCUGAACAUGUGGCUGGACAAGUUUGUAUUCUGUGGUCGAUCGGCAGGACCGACUUCUGUCUACCUAUCGGCAGCAGAAAGACUGGCUAACGGUGGCCGAUUCCCUCUCGGCGAUACUUGCUUGGCGCUGUUUACCACCUUCUCCAUCAAGUAGCCCAGAAACUUCUGCUCGGCCAAUCCACUGGCAACUUGGGAGGCCCCUGGUGGUUUGUCAACAUGUGGCUCAAUCUGCAUCUGCACAAGCGUCUCAACUUCAACCUGUUCACACAGCGUUUCCCAAGAGAUAUAGCUGAAAACCAUGUAUUGGGUGAAGAGGAAUCGGCAACACGCGCCCCCUUGAACUUUGGCGAAGCUGUCAUAGUUCUGCCUGCUUGAGGGGGUAAUCCAGAUCAGAUCGGCCGAUUCUUCUAGACUCUGUAUGAGGGUUUGACCAGAGACGAACGACCAUGGUUGGCUUAUGAUGACCCAGAUAGCAUGCUCCCUCUGACCUUCAAUCCAUUUGAUGAAGCUCUCGACAGGGACAAUGAGGUGAUGAUGGCAAUUGUGACUCCCAGAAUCAUUCCAGUGAAUUUCUUUGGUAGCACAAAAACCUCCCCUCAAACUUACGAAUUUUACAAUCCAUCGGCAUUAGCUCGCCAGUUAGCUUUCGGCCAGUUGCCGAUUGCACUUCCUUAUGCCGAUGUGAUAAAACCCAGAGAAACUAUCAACAACCUUCUUGAGUGGACUCGAGCAGCCCAACUACCACCAAACGCCGAUAUAGAUGUAGAUCUGUCAGAAUGGGUUCCGGCUGCUUUUAUCACUCAGGCAUACAAGUUAUGGUGGGCAGAAUGGAAAGAGCAUCUAUUCUGCAGAUCGGCACUUUCAUACUGCGGCAUGAUUGACUCCGAAUACGAAGUUCCCGAUGACACUGUAAGUAACUCAAACCAACGUUUCAUUUUCUCAAUAUUACCUCCAUCGGCAGCUUACCCUUGUAUUCCUUUUGCAGGUUGACAAUAUUCCUCCAUUGGUUAGCAGGAGUGGCAGGCCGAUCGACUUGUUUCCAUCAGGCCCGAUUUCCUCAAUCGGCCACAAUGCUCCCACUCUAGCUUCCAUCGUGCAUCGGGGUGUACGCCUCAGGAAAGUCACCACCAGAAGAACCCAGACAUCACCAACGGUUGCUGCUCCCACUCUUGCGCGGGCUUUCAAGGCAAUUUGUCAAAUCUUUUCCUUUAUGCUGACUAUCUUUAUAUCGGCUAUAUUUAUGCUUAUAAACUCUUGUUCAUUAUUGCAGCAAACCGGCGCAUCGGCGAAAGCCAGGUGUGAGAGUACCGAUGCCCCCCAGUCUAGCCAACCCAAGAGAAAGGGCACCACGGGUGCUAAGACUGGAACAAAGCGCCAGAAGGUAGCAAAUCCCCCUCCUCCUCCGGUAUCUCCAAUUCCGGUGGAGUCUUCUCCUUCUUCUCCAGAAGCCCAGCCACAGCAAGCACCAUCUCCCCCACCUAUGCAGGAAGCACCACAGAUAGAAGAACCCCAACAGGAAGGAUCUCAAACAGAAGAUGCAUCAGCUGACAUGGGUGAACAAACAACUGGCCCGGUGGGUCCAGUUAUACCAUCGGCAGUUCUCCCGAUUCAGACAACCGUUGUCCCUCCUCUAGGUAACAUACUUUAACAAUAUCGCUACCGAUGAACUUAUUCUUAUUUAGUCUCAUAACUCCUUUUGUCUUCUUUCAGUUGAUAUCGUUCCAUCGGCAAUCUCAGCCGAUCAACCUGUAGCUCCAUCGGCAUCUUUGGCCGAUCAGCCUGCAGCUCCGUCAGCACUUCUCAGUCAAAGACAAGAGAUCGCCUUGAAGCAAGUAAGUCACCGCUUACCGUUAGCACUAUUUGCCGAUUCUCUGAGUAUGAGCUAAUUUUGCUUUCCCUCCCAGGAACAAGAUUCUCCCGAUAGCCUGUUCUCCUUCGCCAUCGAUCUCUCUGAAGAAGAAGGUGAAGAAGCAAGCUCUUCUCAGACGGUCGGCAUCACAUCGGCAGAGAUCAGGGUCAGGCUGGAAGAAUUGUCAGCUCUCCUUCACCAGGACACAGCGCAAUUGGUUGAUGAUUCCGACCCUACCAAGACCCUGUUCAGAACUCUCAGAGGCCAAAUCCCAGCCGAUGUUGAAGAAAUCCUGUUCCAAGCCGCUCAUCUGGAGAGUCGCCAGCUGCAGUACCAAAGAGCUUCUCGGCGGCUUGCCGAUAGAGUCGCUCAGACUCAACUCUCCGAUGAAAUGAGGAAAGAGAAGCUUUUGACCGAUGAGAAGCACAAGAACAUCGGUAUCCUGAGAUCUUCUGGAGACGCGCUGAAGCAGAAGAUAUCCGAUCUAUCGGCAAGAAAAGAAUCCCUGUUGACGGAGCUCAAGGAAGUAGAGAACGCUCUGUCCCAAGCCCAACAGGAAGAGAGCCAAUUGCCAGAGACCAUCAGGCUUCUUGAGCACGAGCGAAAUGCUCAUGGUCGCAAGGCACUUCAACUGAAGAAGCUGAAGCCGAUAGAAGGUUUUGCCGAUGAUGACAUCAAGGAGAUAGAAGCAGCCAACCAAAUUCGGCUACGCGCUAUAUCGGCAAUCCAGACGCUGCUUAACACAUAGAGUUUCCAUCGGCAUUGUAUCUGCGCUUUCCUGCUUCCUCAGCUUUUAGUCUAGCCGAUAGGACUGUUAUCGGCACCUAAACUUUUGAAACACCAAGUGUUGUCCCCAAGCAUUUGGAUCCAGCCGAUAGGAGUGUUAUCGACACCUAAACUUCUAUGCAUCGACCCAUAUACUGGGGUAGUACUUCUUUAAAUAUUUGUCGUUUAAUGCUCUGGGAAAUUCAAUUCCUUCGAGGGUUUCUAGAAUGUAGGCAUUACCAGGAGCCGAUCGACUUAUCCGAUAAGGACCCUCCCAAUUAGGAGACCACUUUCCAAACUUUGAACUUUUGGUCCCAAUUGGUAAAAUUAAUUACCAUACCAAAUCCCCAUCGGCAAACUCUUUAGCCUUCACUUUCUUAUCAUACCAUCUAGCAACUCUCUUCUUAUUUUCUUCUAUACUCAUUAAAGCUUUUAACCGAUGCCCUGCUAGAUCGUCCAAUUCAUCGGUCAUCAAAGUGGCAUAACCAUCGGAAGUUAAUUGAUCUUGAAAAGAUAAUCGCCUAGAUCCAGCCUUAAUUUCCCAAGGCAACACUACAUCAUGUCCAUACACCAAUUGAUAGGGUGAUACUUUGGUCGAUCCAUGACAAGCCAUCCGAUAAGACCACAAUGCUUCAUUUAAUAAUGUAUGCCACCGCUUAGGAUUUUCUUCAAUCUUUCGUUUAAUAAGCUUGAUAAUUCCUUUGUUAGACGCUUCGGCCUGCCCAUUGGCUUGAGCAUAACAAGAAGAGGAAUUCAACACUUUAAUUCCCAUACCGAUUGCGAAUUCAUCGAACUCCCCCGAUGUGAACAUGGUGCCCUGAUCGGUAGUAAUCGUUUGGGGAAUCCCAAAUCGGUAAAUAAUAUGCUCCUUCACAAAAUCAAUCAUAUUGGCCGAUGUGACUUUCUUCAAAGGAAUAGCUUCAACCCACUUAGUGAAAUAGUCAGUGGCAACUAGAAUGAACUUAUGCCCUUUGCUAGAUGGUGGAUAAAUCUGGCCGAUCAGAUUGAUGGCCCAUCCCCGGAACGGCCAAGGCUUUAUUAUAGGAUUCAUAGCCGAUGCGGGUGCUCUCUGGAUAUUACCAAACUUUUGACAACCUUGACAUCCCUUGAAAUAUUUAAAACAAUCUUCAAGUAUGGUUGGCCAAAAAUAUCCAUUCCUUCGAAUCAUCCACUUCAUCUUAAAAGCUGACUGAUGCGCUCCACACACUCCUUCAUGGAUUUCCCCCAUCAAACUUCUAGCUUCAUCAUCACCCAAGCAUCGGAGAAGAAUUCCGUCGAUAGUUCGAUAAUACAAUUCAUUUUCAAGGAGCACAUACUUGGUUGCUUGAAAUCGAACCCGUCUUUCAACUUUUUUGGAUGGAUCUUUUAGAUAAUCAAUAAUUUCUUUCCUCCAAUCACCGGCACCGACUGCCGAUGUCGCAUUAAUCAUUGGCUGAUAUCCCGAGGCAUGCUGAGCUAACCGAUUAGCGUCUUCAUUAUGCAAUCGGGGAACAUGCUCCAAUCGGAAAUCCUUGAAUUCCUUUAACAGUUGCAUACUUCUCUCGAAAUAAGUUAUGAGAACUUCACUUCGGCAUUCAUAGCUUCCGGCCAGUUGAUUUAUAACCAACAUAGAAUCCCCGAAUAUUUCAACAGCAUCAGCACGAACUUCUCUUAACAACUCCAAUCCCUUGAUCAGAGCCUGAUACUCAGCCUGAUUAUUUGUUGAUGUGGCAACAAUCGGCAAGGAAAACUCAUACUUCCUCCCCUUAGGGGAAACUAAUACAAUGCCGAUUCCUGCCCCCCGGUCACAGGUAGAUCCAUCAAAGAAGAGCGUCCAGGGUACAAUUUCCAAGGUUUCCACUAGACCGCAAUGCUGAGUCACAAAAUCGGCCAUAAUCUGCCCUUUGACUGCCUUAGCCGAUUCGUAACGCAAAUCGAACUCCGACAGCGCUAAAAUCCAUUUACCGAUCCUACCACUCAUAAUCGGCAUAGACAGCAUGUAUCGGACCACGUCAUCUUUGCAAACAACAGUGCAUUCGGCCGAUAACAGGUAAUGUCUCAGCUUGAUACAUGAAAAAUAUAAGCAUAAGCAUAGUUUCUCAAUGGCCGAAUACCUGGUUUCAGCAUCAAUCAACCUCCUACUCAAAUAAUAAAUUACCCUUUCUUUCCCUUCAAAUUCUUGAACUAAAGCUGAACCGAUAACCGAUCCAUCGGUAGAUAAAUACAAUUUGAAGGGCUUCCCUUGUUGAGGUGGAACUAGAACUGGAGGAUUUACUAGAUACUUCUUGAUUUCAUCCAGAGCCAACUGCUGUUCUUCUCCCCAAAUAAACUCUUGAUCGGCUUUCAAUUUAAGAAGAGGACUGAAAGCACGAAUCCUACCAGACAAAUUCGAUAUAAAUCUCCUGAUAAAAUUUACCUUGCCGAUCAAGGAUUGGAGCUCGGUUUUGUUGGUAGGGGCCACUAUUUUAUUGAUGGCAUCAAUAGAUCUUCGACUAAUUUCAAUACCCCUCUGAUGUACCAUGAAACCAAGAAACUGCCCUGCCGAUACACCAAAUGCACACUUGUUGGGAUUCAUCUUCAAUCCAUGCUUCCUUGUGCACUCUAACACUUUUUGUAAAUCGGCAAGAUGCUUUGAGAAAUCUCCAGAGUUAACCACCACAUCAUCAAUAUAAAUCUCCACGAGCUUGCCGAUGAACUCAUGAAAUAUAAAAUUCAUAGCCCUUUGAUAGGUAGCACCAGCAUUCUUCAACCCAAAAGUCAUGACUAUCCAUUCAAAUAGCCCAACAUGACCAGGACACCUGAAUGCGGUUUUUGGAAUAUCCUCCUCCGCCAUGAAUAUUUGAUUGUAACCUGCAUUACCAUCCAUGAAGCUGAUGACCUGAUGACCAGCCGCAGCAUCAACCAGUAGAUCGGCGACAGGCAUUGGGUAUCCAUCCAUCGGCGUAGCUUUAUUGAGAUUCCUGAAAUCAAUGCACACCCGAAGCUUCCCGUUCUUCUUGUAAACCGGAACAACAUUGGAAAUCCACUCGGCAUACCGACACUGCCGAAUAAACUUAGCUUCAAUAAGUUUGGUGAUUUUGGCCUUAAUACCAGGUAGAAUGUUAGGAUUACAUCGGCGGGCUGGUUGCUGAUGUGGCCGAAAUCCAAACUUGAUGGGUAACCGAUGUUCAACAAUUGAUCGGUCUAAACCAGGCAUCUCGGUAUAAUCCCAAGCAAAGCAAUCUUUAUAUUCCUUUAACAAACUAGUCAAUUGUUGCUUACUCUCAUGAUCUAAUUUAGCACUAAUAAAAGUAGGCCUAGGCUUAUCACCACUACCUAUAUCUACUUCUACCAAAUCAUCGGCCGAUGUGAAUCCCUGGCCUAAUUUUCCAUCAUCGGCGAAUCUAUCCAUUAAAAACCGUCGUCAGAACCGACUGCUUGGAUCGGUGGAAUCUCAUAAUCGGCAACUUUGAGAAAAUCUUUCUCCCAAACUUCUCCUGAAAUGCACCUGGUCCUUUCGUAAGUAUCCGCUUCUGCCGAUGCGAUAACAUAAGAAGAAUCUCCUGGGACAAUCUCAAUCUUGUCACCUACCCACUGAACCAAGCAUUGAUGCAUUGUAGAUGGGAUACAACAAUUGGCAUGAAUCCAAUCUCUUCCCAAUAAUAAGUUGUAAGCACCUUUUCCGCUGAUCACGAAAAAAGUUGUCGGCAAGGUUUUGCUGCCGAUGGUCAACUCUGCACAUAUCGCCCCCUUGACUGGAGACACGUUUCCUUCAAAGUCUUUGAGCAUCAUAUCGGUCUUGGUCAAAUCUUGAUCCCCUUUCCCAAGCUUCCGAUAUACUGCAUACGGCAUAAUAUUAAUAGCAGCUCCACCAUCAACUAGGAUCUUGGUCAUUGGCUGCCCAUCAACCCUUCCUUUGAGGAACAGAGCUUUAAGAUGCUGCCUCUCGUCAUCGGCAGGUUUCUCAAAGAUAGCCGUCAUCGGAUCCAGAGCCAACUGAGCUAUCUGAUCAGAAAAUUCCAACUCAUCAUCACUGGCUGGUGCAAGAAACUCCAUCGGCAACAUGAAGACCAUGUUGACGCCUGCCGAUGGACCUUCCCUCUUAGUGUCUGACGGCUGCCGACUUCCAGAGUUCUCUCCCUUGUUUAGCUCUUCUUGCCUUUCACGUUGCAAUCUCCUUUUCUGUGUCUUGGUUAAUCCUCCAGGGCACCAUGGAGGAAGUGGCCUUUGCCUUGCCGUCGGGCGUCGGUUCUCCCUUGACUCCAUACGAUGCGUGUUAGCAUCCCUGCAAAAUAUGAAUUCAUCGGGAACCCGCGCAUCAGCCAUUUCCUCGAGCUCUUCUUGGUUCCUGGGAAAAUACUGGACACGGUCACUAAGUCUGUCGUGCCCACUAAAUCUGCCCCCCAGCCAGUCAUGAACUGACACCCUUCCUCUGAUCGGCCCAUUAAAUCGCCGUUCAUCAUCAUGAUAAUGCCGAUCGAUCCCAUCGUACCGAUCAUAACCGUUGCACUCAGGGCAGUCUCUGACAGUAGGAAGCUUGAUAUUUUCCUCCCAACAAUGGAUGAAGAAUGGACAAUUCCAAUGAUCCCUGUGCCGAUUCCACUCCUGUCGGCGUCUUUCUUCUUCCCGUCGAUAAUCUUCCUGCUGGCGCCGAUACCGAUCUUCCCGUUGUUGCCAUUUUUCUCGAGGCCUUCUAUGAGUUAUGACGAUACCAGAUCGAGGAGGCCUUCCUGAGCUAGUUCCUUCCUGGACCAAGCCCUUACUUCUUGCAUCGGCAGUAGUAACUUGAUGCUGAGGAUCUACCGAUGCACUCUUCUCAGCUGUCUACGAUGUUAAGACCUUAGCCUUCCCCUUAGCAUCCAACAUGUUUGUCGGGAAAGGAUGUUGGUCUAUCUUCAUCGGCUUCUGGGCUUUGGAACUGUCAAACUUGAUUCUCCCUGACUCUAUAGCCGAUUGCAGCUGCUGUCUGAAUACUUUGCACUCGUUGGUGUCAUGGGAAGUUGCAUUAUGCCACUUGCAAUAUCUCAUCCUCUUCAACUCUUCUGCCGAUGGGAUCACAUGGUUAGGCGACAGUUUGAUCUGACCUUCCUGAAGUAGAAAGUCAAAUAUCCUAUCAGCCUUAGCGGUGUCAAAAGCAAACUUCUCUGGUUCCUUCUGCCCAAAAGGACAAGACAUCGGCUUCUUGUUUUUUACCCACUCUGCCAAGCCGAUUACUAGUUCUUCAUCAGAAUCUGAGCUUGUUGCUUCAUCGACAAAUGACACUUUCCUAUUCCAUGCUCUUUUAGGCUCGAAAGGCUUGAUGUCUUGAUCAGAAAUCCUCUGCACCAAAUGACUUAAACUUUCGAACUCCUGAGAGGCAUACUUAUCCCUGAUAUGUGGCAACAAACCCUGGAAAGCCAAAUUGGCUAGCUGCCGAUCAUCCAGAACCAAGCUAUAGCAUUUAUUCUUGACCUCUCGUAUCCUCUGCACAAAACCCUCAACCGACUCAUCAUUACGUUGCCUCAACUUGACCAAGUUGGUGAUCUUCUUCUCAUGAACCCCCGAGAAGAAGUAUUUGUGGAAUUGCUUCUCUAGAUCGGCCCAAGUAAUUACUGAGUUGGGAGGUAAUGAUAUGAACCAAGUAAAGGCCGAUCCAGACAAUGAUGAUGAAAAUAGACGAACCCUCAAUUCGUCCCUGUUACCAGCCUCUCCACAUUGAAUGAUGAACCUGUUGACAUGCUCCAUGGUUUACGUGUCGUCCUGCCCGGAAAACUUUGUAAAAUCCGAUACCUUGUACCGAUGUGGAAGCGGGAUCAAAUCAUACGCGGGAGGAUACGGUGUCCGAUAAGAAUAAGUGUUGACUUUGGGUUUUAUCCCAAAUUGUUCCCUCAUUACUUCAGCAAUCUUAUCGGCCCAAUAUGCAUCGGCAUCUUGCCGAUGAGGCGGCUGCGGAUCUGGCACUUGGUGGCGAACCUCCACGUGUCUGUUCGGGACGUGAUCUGCACGGAACAUUGUAUUGAUCACCUGUCCUCCAAUCUGCGGACCACCAAACUGUUGUCCACCGAUUGGCUGUCCUCCGAGCUGUUGUCCAAAAUUCAUUGGCUGGUUGGGAAUCUCCUGACCUUGGAACCCGGGAUAGACCUGCCCUUGCUGGAACCCUGUAGUCUGGUAACUUUGCUGGGGCGAUUGUGGAAAGGCUUGCUGUCCAAGCCAUCCAUUAUUAGCGUUCAUCGGCAUAGGUGCUGCCGAUGAUUGGUAAUUGGGUACCGUCGUUGAAUUGACAUACCCCGACUGGGCCAAAGACCUCUGUUGCAUCAGCAUUGACUCUGCCGAUGCGUUGGGCAUCUGGAACAUUGAAUCUUGAGGAUUUCCAGUGUGAGGCCUUGCAGUAGUAGUUGUGGUAUACCGAGGACUCUGGUUCACCGGCGCAUUGGGAGGUGCCGAUGUCAUAGGAGUUUUGCCCCUCAUGUCAGUUAUUUGUGAUGUUCCCGGUGUCAACUCUGGAGGCAUACCGUAACCCCACCAGUUGGGAGGAAGAGUCAACCCUGACAUUGCCGAUGCCAACAUAUCUGUUGUCAGUUUAUGCUGCCCAACUGAAAUUUGUGGGUUGGUUGUCAUCGGCAUAGAUAGUGCACCAGUAGUCCCCGAUGUACUUGGAGGGACGGCAGAUUGUGCACUUGCAGUCGUCAAGGCAGCCGAUGGAGCCGUGACCUCUGGUGCCGUUGUCUGAUGAUGGGAGGGGCCCACAUAAUCUGGUGGGAUUUGUCCUUCCUUGAAAGUUCUUGCCACGGCAUUGAAAACCGUAUUAGACAGUACACCAGCUUGGUUAAUCAACGCUCGAUUGAUGGCAUUGUCAACCAUAUCUUGAAGCUUGCCAGGAUUGGCGUCAAAGGUAACCUGCCGUGGUGCCGGCAGUGCAUCUUUCUGGACCACUUCGCUGCUCCUGUUUAUGCUGAAAGACCUCAGGCAUUGCUGCUUGAACUCUUCCAUGGCUUGGGCAAUAGCUUGCUUCUGCUCAUCCUUGAGGUUGGCCUCCGUCACGGGGAUGACGUUCUCUUGAUCGAGGUCAGAGAUCGACAUGUUGAUCUUGAUCUUGAAUCCUGUCCCACUGGGCGUGCCAAAAGAUGUGUUGAUGCAAAACUGAUCUGCAAACACAAAGGGCUAAUACCCGAUUCAAACGUUAAGGCGUGCCAGCCGAUUUGACCUUGCUAUCGGCAAAGGUGAUAACUCGAAUACUUUAGUCCUGACAACAGCGAUGCGCCCGGAUGUCACGGCUAAGAGGUACUCACGCGGAACUUGAGAACACGCCGAGCUUAAGUCGACGAAUUCCUAAGAACUCGUAACAAAAGGAAAAAGUAUGACGAAGUCGUCGAAAAGUAAAUGCUGGAAUAUGAGUAAAAACGUGUGUUUGAUUCAUUGAUUGAUUUUUUAUUACAAGGCCCUAGGAUCUAUAUUUAUACCCUGCUCAAAGAGCUACAACCAGACACGAUUAGAAUUCGAAUUCCAAAUUACACGGAAUCCGUAUACAAAACGAUGCAAAUAAUUAAGGAAAUAACAAAACUAUCCCUCGUGACAAACCGAAACUCCUCCACAUAACGACCGGCAGCUUCCGGACUCCCUCUUUGCAUCAUCGGCAGACCCUUUGCCAUAGUCAUCGGCAGACUUUCUUAUCUAGCCAUCGGUACCAUAUUACUGCCUGUGGACUUAGUCACGUUCAACUUCUCCCUCAUCGGCAACCAUCCUCAUCGGCAACCCACUUUGUAAACAUCGUACUGCCACCUUAUCCUGCCAUCCUAGACACGUGCCCAAAAACGGUGUCAACAGAUUGGAUCGAUAGUAGGAGUGUGAAUGAAAUCCUUGUUCUUCAAUUGCUGAUAGACUUCCUUCUCUCUUCGGGUCUUCAGUCCAAGGUCUGCUAUCUUGAGAAGGACCUUGACUUGCUGACCUGAUGAAGAUGAUGGAGCUUGUGUGGGUGUCGGGUCGACGCUCAUCUCUGAUGGCUGUGAGGAGUGUCGGGUUGAACUCCUUGUACCAAUGUUCUUAAGAGCCUUCCCUGCAUUCUUCACCUUCUUAAACAUCCUGCAAACAAAAGUUGGCAAAAACACAACUGGUGGAAAAUGUGCGAUAAAAUGUUAGUGGUCAGCUGUCCGGAGUGUUAGUAGUCCAGGGGUUAAUCUUUCAAGUCAAGUUUUUAUUUUGGUAGACCCUUCCCCUAAACAACUUUUACUUCCGCUUGGACAGCGGGAUCACUAUUUGCUAGGUGACAAUCACUUUCUCAAAAGAACUCCAACCUUCCCUUCCACUCUCCUCUUUCUCUCUACUCUCUUCUCUUCACUACAAAAGCUCCUUCUCGGGAAACUGAGAUUUGUGUUGUUUUCUGAAGUGUGUGUGUGAAGAGAAGGGGAGCUGGAGGUGGCCUUUUAUAAGCUGAGCAGGGGACAGGGCGGGCGCCCUUGGUAGGUGGGCGGGCGCCCACUUGUGAUGCCCAUCCUGGGUGUGCCUCCUCCACUUGCUUCCUUGCUUUGAUCUCACGCAGAAUAAUGUUGUGUUGGUAGUGGUUGGACGGUGGAAAGAUGUCAGGUGAGUGGAAACAUAUUGGUGGAUGAAAUUAUAUGAUGGGAUGUAUGUGAGAUGAAGUGUAUGACAUGUGGGACCCAAAGAGUGUGGGUCAUGCUUCUAGAAGAUUUAUAUGAUUAAAUAUAAUGUAGGAAAAUCUAUGAGAAUCGAAACUUAUUGAAAAUGAUAUUGGAAAAUAUUUUUGUGCCCCCACAAUAAUUAAUAAAUAUGGGUUGUUACACACCACGAAUAUUAUUUAUCUGGGGCUUUUUUGAUUAUUAUAAUAAUGCUAUGAAUAAAUGUGACUAAUGCAAGAUUUAAUUAUGCAAGAAAUUAAAAAAAUAAUAAUGCGGAUAAAUACCGAUUUACCUCCCGGUGAGGGUUUGGGAUUUUUAGGUCCCCCAAGCUGGACCUCCAAUUCUUUUAAUCUUUUGAGUUUCCUUCCUCCGGAGAUGGUGUCUCCAGUGGUUCUUCGUGAACUUCCUUCACUGUAGAGUCUCUCUCUAAUCUGGGUUUGAAUGUGAAGUGUUCUUCUUGACCGUUUAUGUUGAACUUGAUUUUUCCCUUCCCGACAUCAAUGUGGGCAUUGGCAGUGCUCAGAAAUGGCCUUCCAAGGAUGAUGGAUACUUUCGAGUCAGGACUCAUGUCCAGUACUACGAAGUCUACUGGCACAAGGAAAUCUCUGAUCUUGACUGGAAUGUUCUCGGCGAUGCCCAACGGGUGUCGAACCGAUUGAUCCGCUAGUUGUAGGCACAUUGAUGUUGGUUCUAAGGUUGCAUGCUCAAGCUUUUUGUAGACUGAUGCUGGCAUCACACUGACACUUGCUCCGAGAUCACAAAGUGCAUUGUUGAAGUGUUGGUUUCCGAUCGAGCAAUCAUCCGACUGCAGUCCUCUGUUUCUUUUGGGAAAUGGCAAAUAGUUGGUGUCGUAAAAAUCUUUCCUCAUUUCUCUAGUUCUUGGUGGUUGUGGCAGAUCUUCUGCUUCAACUGGGCUUUCUUCUUCUAUCACUGCUGGUUGCACUGGUGCUGAUGUUCUUUGUUUCUCUUUUGGGUAUGGUGGAUCUCUAGUAGCUUUACCUCCUCUAGUAGUUAUAUUCUUUACCUGCUCAAUGUUAGUAGCAACAGGUAGUGCAGCAGCUAACUUUAUUAAUUUAAGCUCUACCCUUUUAUUAAGAGUGUUUUGCUAAUCAAAGGCAGUUAGUAGAAAAUCCAUUUUAUUGUGUAUAUCUUUUAGAGAUGAUUCAUUUGUAUCUAGCCUUUGUUUAACUUCAUCAUUAAUUUUGGUUUGUUGAGCAAUUAUCUCUUUUAAUGAAAGUUGCUUGAAAGUAUUACCUGAAUUCAUACCUUUGCUAUUGGGUUUACUCGAAGUUGGUUGAUAUUUGUAUGCUGUCUCAAUGGCCCUUUGAUCUUCUUUGAACUUGGCCCUCUGGUCAAUCCAAUGGAGCAAAUUUUCCAUCUUACUCGAUAACGCAUUUACUUCUUCUGGUAUUUCUUCAGUUUGAUGACAUUGUUGAGCUUUAUCUUGGAACCAGCUUUGGUUUUCUACUAUCUUAUCCAAAAGUAUCUCUGCUUUUCCAGUUGUAAGCUCCAAGAAUGAUCCUUUAGCAGAUGCAUCUAGGCACUCACGAGCCUUCUGGGUUAAUCCAUGGUAGAAGGUCUGCAUAAGUAACCAUGUGGCCAUUCCAUGGUGAGGACAAUCUGAUAUGUAUCCUUGAAAACGCUCCCAUGCUUCGGAAAUGGCUUCUGUCUUCUGCUGUUGGAAACUGACAAUAUUUCCUCUUAAGGCAGUUGUUUUGCCUAUAGGGAAAAACUUUGAUAGAAAGGCAUCUGACAAGUUCGUCCAGUUGUUGAUGUUAUCUUGAUGAGUGUAGAACCACUUCCUCGCUUUCCCUUCUAGUGAGAAUGGAAAAAGGCGAAGUAGUAUGACGUCUUUGUCAACUUCGUUGAUGUGGAUUGUGCUUCCAAUCUCUAAGAAAUUCUGCAAGUGUGCACUGGCAUCUUCAUGUGCCUUUCCACUGAAUUGUGUAGCUUGCACCAAAUUGAUGAGGCUUGACUUGAGCUCAAACUCAGGUAUUCCUUCUUCUACUGCAAAUCUUGGACCAGUUGGAAUGUUCUCAAGGCUUGGAGCAGAGAAUUCUUGCAAGGUCUUUUGUGCCAUAGCUUCAGCAAUUGGUAGCUAGCUUCUUCUUCUCUUGAUUGCUUUGGUUCUGAUGAUGGAGAGUUGAAUGUACCCAAAGUCAAUCCUGUUAUACCCUGUAUAAAAAUAUAAACAUAGAAAAACAACAGGGUGAACCUGCCAAAGCAGCGGUGCCUUGUUAUGAUUUCUCACUUAGUAGCUGUUUUAUGCAAUUAUUUCUCUAUAGUCUAGUCUAAUAUUUUAUAUGAAUAACCUUGAUUGAUUUUCUAGCUUUCCUUAAUAUUAUCCUUUUGUUCCCUUUUAUGACUUAUUCCUGAGACUCGUAUAAUUCCUAUAAGAUCCUAUAAAUUCCUAUAAUUCCCCGGCAACAGCGCCAGAAAUGCUUGUUGACACUAGCUAACACCACUUAGAUACUAGGUUGUCAUCCCUAGCAUGGCGCCAGAGUGUACAAAGGUAUUUAUAAAUGUAAAGGCUCUCUGGAAAAUAAUCUAUUCUAUGCGCAAGCGCAUAGAUAAAACACCUCAUUGUAGCAUUUCACUAGGAUAAGUAUUCCAGGUAUCGUUAUUUAUAAUUUUGCUCAAGGGAUCUAAAGAAGAUGGAAUUAAAUCAAGGGACAAAAUCUAUCAAGGCAUAGACUAGAGAUAAACUUGCAAGAACAUGAUUACUAAUGAGAAACUCGUCACACAGUCACUUACUGUAGCAGGGGGUAAACCAUAAAGAUAAUGAUAAUAAAGUAUAAGUUCAUGGGUAGAUAGCACAGCGAUUAGAAAAUAGACUACUCCUCAUAUAUGUAGGUGAUGUCGGAUUAGCUAGAGAAUGGAUUCUAAGUUAUCUACUAACUACUAAGUCAUAAUCUACUCUAGUUAUCUACAAGAUCAUACAUAGCAUAAAAGACUCUUCAUUCAUGUAUAAGGAACAUUGAUAAAGUAAAUCAGAGCAUCGCAUGACUUACUCCACAAUACCGGUUCUGCCUGUCCUAUCAACGGAGGGUGGACUAUAUAAGAAUCAACGAAGCUGUCACUAUCGCGAACUACCACACGACCCGGCCAAUAGGAUACAUUUGCCGAUAAAUAACAUCUAAGCACCACGCUCACAUGUGAUCUAUCACCUAACUCCCUCGCGUCAAGAGCUAAGCGCUUUGCAAACUUAUACAUAAACUCAUUAUCAAUUAGAACUAUAUCAAAUAUAGAACUAGAGCAAACUAAGAACAUAAUAAUUAGAGACAUAAUGCAAUUAGAACAAUAGAAUUAGAGAAAGAUAUGAAUAAUACCAAUCUUUAUUACCGAAGAUCCGAAUCCAGAGCGUAGGUGCUCUACUUCUCUAAUUGCUAUCUAAUCAAACCUCUAAACUUGAAGGAUUAGGGAGUAGCUAAUUCUAAUUCUCUGUGGGAGAGAAGCUCUAAACCCUAACUUUGAUGGCUACCUCUGAAUAAUGAUUUCUCCUCUCUCCUCCAGGGGCCAGGGGGUCUCGUUUUAUAGUCCCCUCAAGUAAACGUGAGCCAUUGGAUCAAACCGACAUAGAUUGUAUGGUUUAGAUUGAUCCUUUAGGUCGGUGGAGAGUUGUCCCGAAGCAGAGUCCUGGUUGGCUUCCUGGCCAGGGCGGGCGCCCAAGGGGGGUGGGCGGCCGCCCAGCUCCCGAGCCCGAAUCGCGUCCCGUUCGUUCCCUUGGCUUCUGGAUCCUUCUAGAUUGAGGAAAAUUGUGCGGUACGUAAUUAUCUCGUUGUAAACAUGACAUGUGGGCCUUCUCUCUCUAUUUUCUGAUAAACCCCUGCAGAAAUAGAUAAACACCAAAACUCGUGGAAUUCUGUCAGAUAAAACCCUAAUUCUAGAUGUUUGUUUUAUAUUGAUCCUUUUUCAUGUUUAUUUGAUUAUUAAUUUUAGUACUUAAGGACCGUCAACAAUAGCAUAAUCAUCAAGUAUCAUAAUUAUGGAUAAUCAUCAGAGCAUCUACUAGUCAUAAUCAAAGUUAGCCAUUGGAUAAACUAGGGAGUUAGAUCUAAGGUAAUUCUAUAACUACAUCAAUGAGUAAAUUUAAUUAGUGCAAUUACAUCUAGAAAUCAUUGUUAAGUUAACCCUACAUCAUAAUCACAUAUAAAGAGGCAUCAACUAAUGAGGGUAUUAAGACACUAGGGUCACCUCCUUUGCGACUGUGCCCAUGCUAGUCCUACGUACGGAGAGUGGACUAUAGAGGAACCAACGCAGCUAUCACCUGCGCGGACUACGACACGUCCCGACAUGUCACGGUGCACUCGUAGAUAAACAAUAUAUCUAGACACCAUGUCUACAUAUUGUCUACCAUCUACCCAACGAUCGAUUAGGUAAACAUUAUAUGAGCAAUUACAUUAAUUCAAUAAGAUCAAACAAACUAUCCUAGACAUAUAAUCAAACUAGACAAAAACGAUUGCAAUUAAGAAUAUAUGAAUCUAUUAAGAGUAAAGUCUCCCUAAUAUAUAUAAUGAAUACAAUAAAGUAAGAACUAGAUCUAUUACCGAACUCUUGUGCUCCAAACCGACGCUAGGGCUCCAGAUCCUGAUGAAGAACUAGAUCUCCUCUACUUCUAAUCUAGCUAACUAGAACUAUGAACUAGAAGGCUCUUGAUAAACUAGAAGGCUCUUGAUGCUUGAUGGCUUGAGGCCUUGAUGAAUAAUGAAUUGCCUCCUCCUAGGAGGGUCUACCCAUGUAUUUAUAGUCCAAUGGGAUGCACGUGCGCCACAGGAUCAAACCGACGUAACCAAGAGCUGAGAUGCAUCAAGAGACGUGGUGGAGGAACAUUCCAGAAGGGGGGCCGCAACCCUAAGCCUAGGGCGUCGCCCAGCCCCACGUGGCGGCGCCCUGGCCCUAUAUUGCUUCGAGUGUCUUCUAGAUGGUUCCUGAGUUUUCCCGUGAUGUUUCUCAGAGAGGAUAAGUUUCGUGUUUAUCUUGCACUUGAAUCUCUCUUUUCAGCUUUUCUGAAAUAAACCCUGGAAAAUACAGAAUAUGCAAAACUCAUGGAAAUCGUUAGUUAAAACCCUAGACUAGUGUGUUUUCAUGUUUUCUUUUGGGUUUAAUUUUCUAAUAAAUUUGACGUUAACCACCAUCAACAAUUUCCCCAAGCUUACCUUUUGCCAGCCCCUUGGCAAACAAACUAAGCCUAAUUGUUAUUGUAUUUGGAUUAGGAGUUUUUACAAUAUUAUUAUACUUUCAAGUACACAUGCUCUCAAACAAGAAUUUCCUCCGGAUCAAACGAUGUAUGCUCUAACCUUCAAACUUACUCAUUUCACCUGUAAUAUGCGGCUUCACAGCUUUUGCUUAAGUGUUGAGCAGUCGAAAGAUAGAACAAUCAAGCUAAGUACUAUGUCUCAAAUUCUUUGCUAUACCACUAUUCUAGAGUUUUUCAUAAGGUUUCAAAAUAAAACUCACAGCUUAAUUGUAUGACACCCUCAAGUCUCUCAAUGUAUAACAUUAAUGAGGACCGUCAACAAACUCCCCCAAGCUUACCUCUUGCUCGUCCCUGAGCAAGGAUAGACUCAGCAAUGGAUCAGAAGUUGUUGCAAUAUCUUAAAAAUUUGACGGUACACAUGCUUUUAAAUAAGACCUCAUCUCUGAGUUAGAGUAAACUGUCAAGAACUAAAACUUACUUACUUUACCUUUCACCAUGGGACUUGUAAACGUCACUUCUGUCUUGAGUAGUUAAAAGAUAAAAGAGUCUAGCCAAGUGCCAUGUCUCUUAUUCUUGAUCAGCUAUAGCUCUGGAGUUUUUGCAGAUUUUCAAAUAAAACUCAGAGAUUCCUUGUAUGACUCUCUAAAUCUCUCUUUUGUGGUAUUUCUGGAUCCUUACCAAGGCAGUGAUGGUAUAUGCCUUCUCUCAAGAUAUGUGGUAUUUGUGGUAUAAGGCAUAGUGACAUUGCCUUCUCUCUCACCCUAUUUUAAUAAGGCUUUAAUAUCUGGAGCUCAUAGGUGGGAGACAGCUAAUACAUACUUAGAAGACAUUUAUUGCAUAGUCAAACCAUGGAUCUAGAGAAACAAGUCAAUAAGUCAAAUCAAGAUGUGCAUGUGUGGCGAAUGAAUGGUGUAUGGUGAUGAUGGUGAUAACAAUGGUGGAAGUCUAAUUCUACUUUUGCUCUUUUGAGGGGAUACAUACCUUCCUUGCUUUUUGAAACUUUAUGAGGAGAAUGAGAUGCUCUAUCUUUCAUUUUAUUCUUUCCUCUCAGGUGGGUAUCCUGUACCCCUAAUUCUACUGUCGGACACUUGUCCAUUUUUACCUCUCGUCUCACUCUUUUUCUUUUCUUUCGAGGUUCCGGGCACUUGCCCCUUUUUAUUUCCUCAUAUAUUUUUUUUUCUUUUUUUUAGAGCACUCAUCUCAUGAGACAAUAUAGCAAGUGGUAGUAGCAAGAUAACUUGAGCAUAUAUUUCACAAGGGAAAACAGAAAUAUUUUUGGUUAUUCUCUCCCGGAUUAGGAGUAGAAUAUUUUUGGGUGGUUCUGGAGAUGGAAAUGAGUGGAUAUAUGUGGAUGGUACUUCCGGAGUAGAAGUAGCAUAUAUGAGUGAAUGUGCAAGUGAAACCUUGAUUUAAUCACAUGACAAGCUCCUAAGGGUCUACACAGCUUGACCACACUCAAUGCUCAUAAGCAGUAAAUAGUAAAUGUGUGGCUCAAAGUCUAGCAAGCAUGUAUAUAUGGCUGUGGUAGGAAUUUAAACUUUCAUCAUAUAGGAACUCAUCAUGCAAUAUUUUAAAGAUUUUUCAAAGAUAAAAUCCUCCAGAAUUCUAGCAUCUCUAGGAACAGAUAAACAGCAGCUCAACCUUCCCAUAUCAUAUCUGUUAACAACUUAGAUUUCAGGUCAAGUUUUCAUUCCACAAGUUUAGAUCUAGAGCAAGCUUUAAAUUAUAACAGUUAUGUCUAAACUUGAGAGAGAACUUCAAAUUUGCAAAUUAGGCAGAGCAACUAUUCAUCAUAUCCAUGCUAGAGUUUUAUUAUUAAGAUUCAGAUUAGCAUAGCCACUUUAUUCAUUUAUUAAACACACUAAGCAAAAGAUAUAUAUAUAAGCACAAAAUCUUUAUUUGGUUCAUAGUUUAUGUAUUUUAAUAUUCUAAUAUAAUAUAAGUAUAA